ensembl:lncRNA
UUUCAUUCUAUUUACGCUUAAACUGAAAUCGAUAAACGGAAGCAUUUUAAGCAGAGUGACCUGGAGGAGUGAGGAAUGGGGGAGAGGAACAGACGCUUUCAUUAAAUCAGCAAUCGAUGCCAGCGCUCCUCAGAGACCAGUGAACGGGAAUAAAGAAAUAAAAGAAAAUGAAAUAAAGGAACCAUUUUCCAUGUUUAUCGGGACUGUUAUGGUUUGCCUGAGGGAAGGUUUUCAUAUCUACCCAUAUCUUGUUUUCCCUACACGGUUCGUUUUUAAUGUACUGUAAUAGUGACGCGAUUAUGUACAUUACAAGAUAAACUGUCUGUUUUUUCGAUUAUAAGCAGAAAUAAUUUUAAGGAUGAACAAAGUUGAUGAUCCGGGGUUGUCAAGCAGCCAGCUUUCUGCUAAAAAGACAUAACGCUAUAGUUCAGUGAUCAAAGCAAGCCAUUUAUGAGUGGAAAUUAUGAAACACUUGAGAUUCUCCUCUGGAAUGGACCGGAGGCGAUGGCCUGAGGGGCUGCUGGGAGGGCCGUCUCCCCCCAGCACACACAGCCCUGCAGCCCUGCAUUACAGCACCAUUAGACAUGGCUACAGCACAGAAUGGUUUGCCUGCCACCGAUGCCGUCUCGUAUUACGGUUGUACAAAAGCAAAGAGACGUGUUCAUUUCCAGGAUUAGAGCUCAUUAUAUGAUGCCUCCCAAAACAAACACACGUACGGUAAUGCUGGUAUUGCGAGGUCCAUCUACUUUUAAGGGCACUAGCUCACUAAAGGUUAGUGAGGGGUUCAGAUUCAGGCUGCUGGCACAGUGGACGGAUGCGCUCGAGUAUCGCGCGGUUCUACGGUGUAAUUCAACUACUUCAGUGAUGACGACCGAAGGAGGAAGAGUGCUAACGAUAACAACGCUGAUGAAACUGUACACGUGUGGGCAGCUCUAAAGAGUCUGUAUAAUGCGGCAUAAUAAGAUUGUGUCUGUUUCAAACUGCCCCCAUGCUGGUUUCUAACUUUUCCCCGUAUUCUCUUUCCAGUGCGAUUCAGGGGUUAAUGUCGAAUGUGGGAGGCGAUUACUUGUACGGGCUUCAAUCGUUCCUUUUCUUUAACAAAGAUGGCUACUCAUUUCUGUUUUUAUACCACUUUAUUGUGCAGACUGUUAUUGGUGCACUGUACCUUCAUCCCUGUGACUAAAUCAACUGUAACAGAUUGCCCCCGUCUGGUGAACAUAAUCUGUCCACCACUUUGUGUGUCCACAGCGGAGCAGCGGCAGUGAUGCACUGGCAGCCGGAAUCACUCUUUCAGCUCUGACAAGGAUUUGCCGUUUGGGUCCCUACAUGAUGAAUGGAGCGUAGAAAUGGCCUCAUUAUUGCGCGGAUGAGCAUGGAGAUGGACAUGGAGGGGCUGGGGGAAGUCCCGGUGGUGUUACAGUUGACCAAACAAUGUUGUGUUCCUCUGCAGUAGUUUGGUAGUCUUUGAAGGUUGUCCUCAGUAAAUCCCAGGGACUUUCCUAGGUCGCCGGGUCAUUCUGAAGUGUUUGGCCAGGCCACUGGAAUGCCCUUUACAAACAGCAACGUCCAGCCGUAACUUUUAAACUUUGUGUGGUUUAAUGUAAUCCAACGAAAAGUGAAAAGGAAACUUGUGAGUUGUACCCAACACUCAUGUAUUUAUUUGUCCUCUCGACCAGCUGUAGAAGCCAUUUUUGGCUUUCUUCUGCCACACUGCUCGUCCUGAUUCAUGCAUCUGAUUUGCAUUGUGUAGGCUGAUAGGGCCGCCAUGAGUGAAUGGUUGAAUGAAGAGGAAGCAGGGGGAGGACUGACAAGUCGAUUGGCUGCUACCCUGAUAAAUGGCCUUGGUUUUAUUUAGCUUCAUCUGUUCAAGAGCGGCUCGGCACUUUCUUCCAUUCAGCUUAAGAGUCCCAGGGAGAUUCUUACCCCUGGGCUAGUGGAACUGGAACAUAGCUCUCCUCUUUGGGUAAGCACCUCUCCUCCAGCCACACGUCUAAUGAUCUUAGCCGGCAUCUGGCGCAGAUGGCUGCAGUGAUUCUUUACACAGGAAAAGGAAUUGACAGCAAGCAGGUUUCCGCCGCGCCACCUGCUGCUCGAAGCAUGCCAUGGACCCUGCUCAGAAAUCUAUGUUAUGCACUCGCACACUACUUUGCCACCACAAUCGUGUGAUUUUUAGAAUAAAGACGGAAGAAAUAUUAAUGUCAUGAGUCCCCUUUUGUGUGCUCUUGUUUGGACGGGUCUGCAGGUGGAGCUUUGACCUGUGCCGAGACCUCCGUAACGUCUGGCGCACCAUUAAAGCAGCAGAUGUGCUCCUGAGGGAGCUCCGAGCAAUGCCAGGGGAACGGUUGAGAAGAAUGCCCUUAAACAAACCGGUGCGGUUGUCUUUGGGAUCAGCAGCAUACCACUGUGAUGCAGUCUGCAAGUUGUCACUAACGCCUCCUUUCAAGGCAGGGCAGAUCGAUGUCAGCAACUAUUUAGCUUAACCGAAUGGUGUUUAUUGUUGCCGACUACUUUUUGGGUCAUGCCUGUUGAAUGGCUUACAUUGUUUGCCCAAUCGCCUGGCAGUAGAGUCUUGGGGAUUCCUGAGAGAGUUGUUCUUGCUCACAGUGAGAUGGUUCUGAUAUGCUUUUUCUAAAAAUGUUGCACUGACUGAAAUGAAUAAAAUUGACUCGGGACAUGCAGGGCUUGACAUAAUCACUUGGCCGGGGCAAGUAAACUCUGUCUUUUGGCAAGUGGAAUGCCUCAGCAGUUGGGUGAUCUUAGAAUUGAUAAAGUGAUAUAUAAUCUAUGUCUAGCCAUUGUCAGAAUAUUUUUUUUGUAUAAUGCACGCAAAAGACCUUUUCAUAGCAUAUGUGCAACUGUUUGGAAUUGUAAUAUGGGUUGUUGUGGCGCAAGGGGUAGAGAGGGUGCGCUGGGAACUGCAAGGUUGGUGGUUCGAGUCCCAGCUGCCCCGAACACGUCCCUGAGCAAGACACCUAACCCCUAAUUGCUCCCCAGGCAAAAAUGUAAAUAGCCAUGGGUUCAAAAUGUAAUGUAAGUUGCUUUGGAUAAAAGCGUCAUCUCAAUGACCUGUGAUGUGAUGGUAAUAUAUACUGUAGCUGUAAAUGCAUUUCUAACGUAUUUACUAUACAUUCAUAGUGACCUGUUAAGGUUAGACUUCUCAUAUGUUUAUCUUCAGGCACCCAACUCUAUAUUGACAUAAUGUUAGUGGUUCAAUUUUCCUUUGCUCCUACCAGAGAAUAAUUAUUACCUUUUCAGAUGGAAAGCUGACAAUUGUUGAAAUGGGGGUUUAACGCACCCAUCACAUCAUCUAUCACCUUUAACCACCAAGUUUAUUCAGUUAAACUCCCAAAAACUGAAAAUAAUUAGCAGAUUUGACCUCUGAGGCACUGUUAUACGGGGGUCAAAUUUGUAAAGCUGGAGAGAUGCUUUUUGGUCAUAUUGCUCAGCCCUUACACUCAACUCAUCAAAGUCCUGAAACACUUCUUUAAUAAGUCUACUCCAAGAAUUCAGGUCACUUUAGACAACAUUUUGAGUUCAUUUUGCCAUUUGUGGGUCUAAUUCCCCCCCAACCUUUUCCAAUUUACCCCUAUCUCUCCCUCUGCUUGGUUUGAUAUGCGUAAAGAAUGCAAAUUAGCCACUUAGUAACCACAUCAAUUACCCACCUGGCCUCAUAUCAGCCCCACUGUGUUGUUUGCAAAACACUCGUUAUGGUCCUGUGGUGAUGAAGGCGGACAGUCGAUGGCGGAGUCUGUGUUAUGGUUCGCUCUGGAACCAAUUAGUACUCUGUGCCCGCUGUCCUCUGAGACCAGUGAAACCGAGCAAGAGGCCGAGGCUUAAAACAAUAAUGUGCAACCAGGCCACACCUAAAUAUUGUGUCUACUGUAACUUUUUAUUAUUGAGCAUAGUUCAUGGUUAACACUACUGGACUCUAUCUUAGAGGAAACACAUAUUUAACAGUGUGUAUAAUCACGAUAUGGAGAAAAAAAUGUGUGUAUUUUUAGCGGCCAGUAAUCUACUCGCUACCUCUCCCCUGUGUCCCCUGCUCUCGAUAAGGUGACGUCAGCACCUCUGCUUUUUUCAGCCCGCCACUAUUUCCAGAGCGAAAAUUGGCCCGGCGUGAUCCGGUUGUGAACUAAGCUACAAGCGUAGUUAUAGGUCCUAUAUCGCAGAAAGGCAAAGCAGGGGGAUGUGAAAACUGAGCAAGGGGAGGAGGAGGAGGAAAAGCCGAUGGAGGUGAAACCGAUCUGUCUCUCGUUAUGUCCUCUGUCUUUGUCCGAUGACCCAGGAAACAUCUCAGACUUUUAUACAGCAUUUAGAAGCUUGAUUUAGAUGCACUCUUCUCCAGAAGCUUCCUCGAUGAAACAGAGGAGUUUCGGCAGCAUUGUUAGACACAGGAACUUGUGUGCAAAGUAUGUGAGUAUCACUCAGAGGGAGCCGUGUGUCUGCACCUCUGUGUGCAUGUCAUACAAUCUGCAGAGGAAGCUGUUUCUAUCUUAUAAAAGGAGCAUAGCUUCGGUGAGCACUCAAUAGAUUGUAUGUAACCUCUGGGGUCAACCUCUCAUUCCAUGACUCUUACUGUCCUGUAUGACCACCUUCAUGCUAAACAUACAGAAGGUCAACCAUAAAGCGUGUGUGCAACUGUCAGUGUAGGUUUAAUAUCAGCCUGAUGGCCUAUUCCAAAUAGUAAGCCUAACUUUGGUGAUAUACAGCUGUAAGUGACAUAGAUUUAUUUAUUUUUAGUAUGUUGGUCCAAGGACAAUGCAAUCAAAUGACUCUAAUAGGUUAAGGUAACAUGCUACAGAUGUGUUUCAUAUGGGGUUUGGGGCCAUUGCUAAUAUGCAAGCCUGGUCCCUGCAUAGGCUUUUCUCUGCUGGCAGGUUUUGGGUUUGAAGUGUAAAGUCAAGGCGGAAGUGCUUUUAACUUGCAUUCUUUCAAUGAGCCAGCAGGGGGCGACUUAUCUCGUUCCAAAAAUAAGCCUAUGAGAAAAUUACUUUUGACGUGAUUUAUUGCAUCUGUAAACAUUAGUUUACGGUCUCAAGUACUAGUUGAAAAGGCAUGCUGUUCAUUUGGUAAAUGAUGGUUCCAUUAAGAGCAAAAUACACUAUAAAGCAGGGUUCACUGCAGGGAAUGGUUACCUUGUGUCUGACCGGUCUCCUCCACAGUGUGUGUUUUCAAAACUGAUAUUAAUUAUUAUUAUUAUUAACCUUUUCAGUCACCAUGUCGUAGGGACACCGAUACAUCAAGGUACUGCUCUAAAAUCAACUGCCUCACAAGUUAGCAAGAGCCAGUAAGUCAGGAUAAAAGUAGACAAAUUGGCAAAAAUCAUUUUUAAGCUUGACUGAGGGGGAAAGGUUAUUCUGCUUCAACGGUUUAGUGGCACCCAGCUAGAAAAAUAGUACUACUACCUGUUCAUCUUCAUCCCCAACUGCAAGACUGCAGAGAAGAGUGAGGUCUGGCUUUAUCUUCCACCUUCAAGUCAUCGUCUUCAGAUGAAGGCUGAAGAGAGAUAUGAAUGGAAAUAUAAGCGGUAGUUUGGUGCCAUCGGAGUAAAAACCUACCAUGACUCGAGUUACUGGUCUGAUUUAUUGUGCUGAAAAAAGCGCACGGCCAUUAGCCUUGUGUAACAGACUUUUUACAGUUUCCAGAGAUUACCGGUUCAAUCUUGACCGGUCAACCGAGGACAUGCAGUUUCCUGCUGCUGAGUGGGUGGAAAAAUGAGCGUGCACGGCCUAUGAGAGGUUCUGUGCAAAAUGGAAAUGGCUACAGUUUCUGUUUAAAACAAUAAUUCCCGAUUCAGAAUGUGUUUUUAAGUUACUACCAAAAAAUAUUAGUUGAACACAGCCAAGAUAUUCUGAGGCAGCCAUCUGAUGGCUAAUACACACAGCUUUGGAAAGUAUUUUUUUCUCUAACUCUGGGCUUGUUAAAAAGUGAAAAAUGUGGACCUGCUACCGUACAUUUCCUCUUUCCUUUUCUACAACUUCGUUAGCUGCACCUGUACAUUGGAAGUCACUCUCCACUCAGCCUCCUUUUUUCUUUUGCGCUUAUGCUUCAAAUAAAACACUAUUUCAAAGACCACGCCAUAUGUGUAUUUUCCACUCUUUGGAAUAUGUAAUAUAUUUAGUUUGGUGGUAAUCACUCACAUAUUGGGACAACAGAGGCAAAGCACUGACUGAGAGAACGAGAGCAGAGAGUCGCUGAUGUUUUAAAACAUGUAUGGAUGAUUAAUUACCUGGAGCUGCUGGUGGAAAAUACUGUUUUUUAGCGAACACAGAGAGACCGCACCAAAACCAAUGUUUCCUCCCCUCCGUUGGAAUAAUUGAAAUGUGAUUAAAAGGGAAAUCCGACCCAUCUUCUGCCCAGUGAAAGGCAAAAGUAUCCUUUCUCCCUUCAAUAUUGUUAAGUUAGGAGUAAGAGUUUGUGCAGCGUAAUUUCCUGAAGGGCAAGAAGGGCAGUCAUUAUUGCCUUUCCCUUUACCUGUAACCUCCAACGAAUGCAUAUUACAUUGAGAGAGGGGCAGUCAAUCAAUUGCGACCAUACGAUUACAAUCUAUCAACAAGACUGUCGGCUUGAGCAGAUCCCCGGGCCGGAGUUGGUAAUGAUGAGUUCAAACACCUGAAAAGGGUCUUUCAAGUCCCUUGUGCUAUGCAUGUGUGUGUCUGUGUGUGUGUGUGUGUGUGUGUGUGUGUGGGGGGGGGGGGGGGAUAAAACCGGAAGAGAAAGUCCCUUUAGUCUGCCUUUUUCCUCGCCACCAAAUACAUUGACAAAGGUCCCUAUGCAUUUCAGUAAUGACGGAAGGUGUCUGAGCAGCUGCUGACCAGCCGAUAAGCCACGGCUUUCUGUAGUGUAAAAUAAGUGGUGAUUCAUCCUCAGACCCAGUUGUGUCUUCUUUGCAAAGUGCUGUUGAACAAACAACAUAUACAACCCACUAAAGACACUGACAAACAAUGUAAAAAACUGGUAUUUUAACUCUGAUCUUGGGUUCAUUUGAUUGAAGCCGAUAUGUCAUGAAGGUGACAUAUCAUGAAGUUCCUUCAUAAUUAUAAUUGCAUACGGCAGAAUACAUUACAGCAUUUUCUUUCCUUUUUUUGGCAUUGGUGUUUUUCAGUCUUUUCAGAUAGAAGGAUAAAAGCCUUUGAGGUAAAACCCCGCUCCGAUAUGUGCUGUAGAUGUGGACUUGCAGGAUAUGUGUUUCUAGUGUGGAAGUGGAAUUUUCUGACUUUGGAAUAACAACACCCCACCUUUCCCUGGCAUGUCUUUAAAGCACAUUCCUCUCCGUUUGUAAAUCUUUAUUUCCUUUCGCAAACCCACGAGAACAUAUCAGACAGUCCUCUGUAGACUCUACGUUUGAAACCAGGCUCCAUAAAUCCCCAAAUUAGUUUUUGCAAAGGUCCAAACUGCCUGUGAUAGCAAUGCUAAAUAAAUAAAUGUCUGGCCUGGACGAUUGGGGGAGGAAGGGCUUCAGGAAAUGGUUUACUUGGGGGUCUGAGUGCUUCCAGGUUGUCGUUCCCUAUGAUGGAUCAGAGUGUUUUGGAAUGUCCGAGUGGUGAUCGGAAGUGUAGCUCUUGUUUCAUAUGGCCUAAUAUGCUGGAGUGGGCCCAACUGUAACUAUGCCCAAAUGGCCUUGAUCAUUGCAGCUCUGUGCCGGCUAUAUCAAAUCACUGGACUCCACCUAUGGAUUAAAGGGUGUGGGUAGACCAGGCACUCCCCAAUGGUUCGUCUGUCUUUCCACCAAGAUGUUUUAAGUGUCAUGAACAGAAACAUCAAUGAGGCGGUUUGCUCAAACACUACCUAAUUUACCACAAAUCUUUUAAUAUUGCGUCUUCCUUUGAAAGUUCAAUCUAGAAAAAUAGACUCUUUGUAUACAUUCUCUGUACUUGCACGUUUCCUUGGUCACUGUCUUGUCUCUGUGCUGUACGAUUGAAGCUCUAGUUCAAGGAUUUGUGUCAUAUUUAAUUUCAUUAAUAACUGGAAAACAAGAAAAUAAUUUUAUAAAAAAUAAUCAUUAUUAAAUUUCAGUUCCGUCUAAACCACAGCAUCAAUUUGUGUAUUACUGAUAUUAAAGUAAACGUGUCUAAUUGUGGGAUAAAAUCAAUACAGAAACCAAGAAAGUAAUUAUUCUGUCCGGCUAUCAACGUGUCAUUAGAGGCUUUUCCCGCAUUUAAAACUUCCAACCGUCCGACUGAAUGAGGUAAUGCUAAAGCGAGGAGAGUCUACUUGUCUACUUGAUAUAUAGAUCCUGAGGCAGUCAUCACUCUGUGGUUGUAGCAGGAAAUGUUUGUUUGUCUGGGUUUGAAUACGUGAGCUUUUCUGCCUGGAGGCGUUUUAAAAAGAGUUAUGAGCGACUGUAUUAGUAUUCAUAUUUACAGUUGCAGACUGAAGGAGACGCUCUGCCUCAAGAAGCAGAAGAAAAAAAAGUUCACAUAUCACCCGGCUUACAAGUUAAUCCGCAUUUUUGUUAUGAAUGCUGAGCCGGCGAGGGGUAGAUUAAAACGCAUAUUUUUCAGCAGGUUCAUGAAUCAACUAUAUUAAAGGGGAGAUUAGUUUACUUCACAGAUUAAGUGUGGACUCCCCACAAUUUCAUCUGUAGAUUUAAAUGUGUGCGGGAGCGGCGCGACCCCGACGUCGCUGCUUCCUAACACAUUAUCUCUCCCCGUUGACUGAUAAGCUGGUUUAGUAGCAUGUAGUUGAUUUGUUAGGGGACUUCUUGCACACACUCAGAUUAACAUUUUUCUAGAUGACAAACUUUUAUUUGGCCCAACAGGCAGCUGUCACAUCUGGAUUUAAAAGUAGCUACAGAUUGUCCAGCGCAGCGAUGAUCUUGUAGAAUCAGGUGUCUUGAUUCCUCCCCAAUGAAGUCAGAGAAAUAGACGUAGUUUAACGUCUCUAGAAGAAUUGAUUUUAUAAACGGGCAGUUGAGCCAUCUGGCAGUUUCAGUGUUUUUGAGCACUGUUCGCUGUUUGAACAGUUACUGUGCAGCACCUCUGUAAUAGACCUGUAUGACAGGUGUGAGUGCUGCUGUAGGAGCCCAGCCAGAGGGAGAACAAUCCCAGGCAGGCCAGCGGGACAAACGACUCCACCUGUUAGUUUUCUUAGUCUGGAAGGAGGACUUUUCAAGACAAUGUUGUCCGUCGGGAGAAAUGUUUAUUAAAUCUUCUGCAGUUACUGUAUAUAAAGUGUGCACUGUUUCGCCUGAAGCAUGUGCAGACCAAAACCUUGCACACAUGCACCUUCGCUCUCGCCCAAAUCAACCCUAAACAAACCUGCUGUAACACCUCUCCGGGGGACCUGUCGGUUGGCAGCUUACGGACCACACACAGACGUGUGUGUGUGCACACACACUCUCUCUCACAGGCUCACGCUAACACAGAAGUGCACACAGAGGCCAAUCCACACACACUAAUUUAAUAUCCAUAACAACAUAACCUUGAAGGAUAAAAUGCAGGAGUCAUUUAAAUGCUAAUUUGUUUGUUAACAUAACAUCAAGAUUCCGCGCGGGACAAGUUACGGAACCAGGCUGUCACUUGAUAUGUAUAUUUUAUUCUACUUUGUUAUUUUUAUUGGAACUUUGAUUAUGAUAAUACAAAACACUAAAUAAAACAUUAAUGUAAACAGGAAGGACUUGAGCAACAUAUUUUAUGUAUUCAGGUGCUUAUUACCAGGGAGGAAAUAAGGAUGGUAAAGGGAAAGCGAAAGGAUUGUGUGGAUCUGUCAAUAUUGGAACUGAUGCGGCAAAUCAUAUUUAUUUGUUUGGUACUUCAUAUGCACAGACUUUAACCUCUGAGGCUGUGAACAAGAGCACAGUUCAAAUCAACCCUUUUGGUGUAUGAGCAUCAAAAAAACAAAGACUAUCAAACUUUUUAAGAAAUUGUCAUUUAAAGUGUUGUUUUCUUAAUAAAUACACACAACAACUGAACAAAAGAUCAGGAAGAUAAAAAUGUACUUCUAUUGAUUAAAACCUAUUGCUUGUGUGAGGAAGUUAAAUAUAGUCACCAUUAACAUAUCGCACACGUUCUCACAUGCAAUAGAGGUAAGACGGUACACAUUCCUGUCCCUGUUUAUAAGGACAGAAAAGCAUUUGAUAUGCUCCUUAAACCUCAGGGAUACGCCUGAAUUUUGGUAAUUCAAUAUAAUAACCAAGAAUGUUUUAAUUGAUCUCACGUUUUCAUGUUUUCACGCGCUUUAGAGGUUAAUCUAAAAUAACAUUUUGUGUUGGUGUGGCAGGGCUGUCUAGAAUAUCCAAAAUGUAUAUUGUUACAAAAAAAUGUAUCAACCAAGAAAGGGCAAUUACCUGUGACAGUCAUUGCAAACUUGUGUCCUUGCACUUUUUUUACUAUUCCAUUUUGUUGCCUGUAAUUUUGUCCUAACUGACAGGCCCUCUGCAUUAGAAGUAAUUGAAACCUGCCUGUGGGUUCAGGUAGUUCAAAUAAUGAAGCUGUUUUUUCAGAUCUUGCAAACCGUUGUAGCUGAUUGUGGUCCAUGUAUUUGUAGUGCUUGCUUUUGGAAAUGUGUCAAAGGACAAAAAGAGGUCUCUCUGUUGUAGACGAUGAAAGUAGAUAUUGCUUGCAGCAGAAAUGGGUGGCGUCAGUUGGGACAAAAUUGGUGUCAAUAAAACCGCCAGUAGGGAUCAAACUAUAAUGAAAAAAUACAGGUUGGAGGUUUUUUUUUUUUUUCUUUUACAAAAUUGCCCAUCUACUUUAUUGUCUCAAAAUUAAGCCAGUGUAUCAUUGCCUUCUGUUUGUAGACCCCAUAGUGAGUAUGUGGCAUCUGAUGCAUUGGUGGCAGAAAUGAUCAAUUGGGAUAUUACGUGUGUGUGUGUUAUAUCUAAUUUAUGUUCGCCCCUCUCUCUCUCUCUCUGUCUGUCUCUUUGUCUAUUUAUCUCUGUGUCCGUCUAAACUGGUCCAGUCACACAAAGCCCUCCUGUGUGCUCUCAACAGUGACGGAUGUCCUUGGUCUCUUGAAGUGUAAACUCUCCUCUUGAAUCCAGCAUCGCCGACACCACAGAUGAGAGCGAGAAAUGUUAACAGGACGAACACUUUAGCCGGAGCGCUGUGGCGGUAACUGGGAGGAGGGGGGUGGUUGAUCUGCCAGGGCUCAACUCCUCAUUACCAGUCUCUGCCUUUUUAGAAACGGGAUCUGUUUAUUUUGCUGAGUCUCCCCUCGGGGCAUUGAGCUAGCGGGGCAAUAUGGGCAAGUGCUGUGGCAAGCAUGCGCCAGUGUGAUUAUUAUAUCACUUACCACAGCUCAUCAAAGACACAUCCCUUCUGAGAGCGUUUAACUAGCGCAACGAGCCGUGGAAAGUGUUGACGCUCAUAUGUGUAAGUGUGUUCAAGCACGCAUGUGAGCUUGAUUAUUUUACUGUGUGUGUGUGUGUGUGGUCUAAGUAAGAAGUAUCGGCCCACCCGAACGCUUCUGUGUAUGUAGUUCCAUACCACACACACACAAAUGCAUUCGUACUCGGUACCCCGUCUCUCUAUUUCAGUUUCUGACUGAAACACAGCACUGGUCGGGGGGGGAGACCUCCGUCUCUGGUGAUCUGUUGAAAGGGUUUGGACGAGCCUCCUCUUGAUGAGAGUCCCACUCCAACGUCACUGUCGGCCGAAAUGGACUGAAGCAUAUGUUCUCUUACAGGGAGGCAAAGACCGCCUGGUCACAGAGGCGGAACAUUUUUAUCGUUCUACGUUACGAGGCUCCCUCGUGUCAUCACAAACAAUGGGACUGCGGGUAGAUUUUCACACAAGGUGAUUUCCUAAACAAAACAACUGGUACAAAAAGAACCCCUCUCUUCUAACUCACUGGAAGUCUGUGGUGGUGUCUGCAGUCCUUAUUUUGCUGUAUUCAUGUCUGUGCAGUACAUGAGGCCUGCUUAUUAGAAGCCUGGACAAUGAGCAGGGUGCUCUGUCCAUUCGUAUUCCUGCCUCAAACACAGCUAGACUCUCUCUCUCUCUCUCUCUCUCUCCAGCUACUUGUUGAGUGGGAGAAGAACCUGGUGUUAAUUUUCUACCCUGGUUUCUUGUUUUGCUUCUAUCCAACAACAAUAAAGAACGUGGUUCUACAACCAUUAAAGGCUCGAUUAUCCCACUUCUCUGGACUGGGGGGAGAAAGUGAUCGCUUUCUCUGUUUUAACUGCUCCUCACGGGAGGAGCGUCAGGCACUUUUGAUAUAUUUGUCUUUAUUUUUCUCAUCGACCAAUCACUUUGUUGAAUAGUAGGACAAAUUUAAGUCAAACCACAUUGUCUUUGGUUAAGUACUGCUCUAGUGACUUGGGAACUCAGCCAGCCAUGAGACUGACCUGACACAUUGACACAACAAGAAGCGUGAGUGAAAGGAGCUCCUGUGAGUGUAGUUACUAAAUGAAUAUAGUCAGGUGUAAUUAUUGACACCGUGGCAUGGUUGGAUUUUUCUAACUGUCAAUCUGCCUUAGUGAGAUCAAGGCUCUGAGAGGGGCCGUGAAAAAGCAGAGACAAACAUCGUCGGGGUUUCAGGAUGGAAUGCGCAGUCACACCCAACGUUACAGUAAGAAUACCCUGGCAAACUCCCAUUUGCAUGCAUUUAUGCGUUAAGCACACAAGCACACGGUCAUACAUGUGUUUCCAAUAAAGCGGACAGGCAGGAGUAUAAUGGCAAGUGGCAGGAACGGGGUCAGGUUUCCCAUAGGUCCUGCCGCACCGUGGUGGGCAAUGGGUUUAGAAGUGGGUCCAGAAGUGUGCAUGGGUGUAUUUACACACGGCCAUGCCAGAGUGAACGUGUGUUUGAGAUUGGGGUUGUUUUCACAGUAGUGCGGGUGGAGGGAGCGGGACCCGCCCUCCGCUCGUGAACAGAGGACGGAUUGUGCAGCAGACGGAGAGUGGGCUGGAAGGCCCCGGCUGCCUUUUUUGGGGAGACCGUUGGACGGAAUGUUUCCCCAAAAAGCCGCCGUGUGACAGGUGGCCGAGAGAAUGCUGUCACAUUAGACCUCUCCCUACACCCCUCAAACCAAAACCGCCGAGGAUAACAUCUCGUUACUGAAUCCUAUCUUCUUUUCAUCAGUGUGUAACUGCUCUCUUCCAUUAUUGAUGCUAUAAGGAAGACUGAAAUAUUUACCCCGGUCUCGUGAUUCUGUGACACAAGCUGCCAUCUUUCAUCGGCUGUGCACAAAAUCCCAUCUCUCCCUCUUCACCUCUCAGGCCCGAGGUGUAAUUUCCCAACGCUAAAUCUAGAAGUGCUACCGGGGGACACGUUGGGUAGAUUACGAGGUUAAGGCUUCAUUUUGUCCCAGAGCUGUGGCGAAAACGAAAAGCAACAAACUUGUGUGUGUGACCUGUGCUGGUUUGUGGUUCCAGCGAGAGCCGAGAGCAGCCCCCAAGGCUCUGAGGUGUCUGAACCACCUCCACUCACUCCUCACGCUGCCUCAAAUUGUUAUUGAGCUGGGGGCCUGGAGGGCUUGCUGGAAAUAUUGUUUAAUGUUUUUAAACAGAGAACGGCAAGAUACAGUACAGCUGCACGGGGCCAAAAGCCACAACCUUCGAUCGCACAAGGUAACUGAUGCACUUCACGCUGCCGGUGUUUGAUUUGAAACUAAGAAAAACAGACAUUGAUCAACAAUUUAUUUUACUUAUUCUUUCUAUUCAAAGGAACUCUGUUUUCUAAGGUUGUUUGGCCAACUGCUUCUUCUUUCAUGUCUGGUUAAGUGAGCUUAUUAUUCUAACUACGGUUUCUAUGAAAGUCACUUUUUGAGGUCAGUAAGCUGAUCAAAGUUCUCCAGCGAGUAUCAGAAACGGAUAUGCUGACCACAUCAGGAGAGGAGAACACAGAGUGGUUUCAUAGUAUAUCUGCAUGGGCCAUCUGUGAAAAUUGUUGUGACUGGCGCCAAGCAAUCUCUGUUAAAAAAAUCCUGAGGACAUUUUGAAGGAUUCUGAGGAUAUUCAAAGGGAAGUGGGGGUAGAUAUACAUAUACUUUUCCUUAAAAUGUCCAUGCAUGUUGUGUAUUAGGGUGUGUACAGCGGUUACUACAAGAAGCAUUGCAAAGUGCUUUGCUUAACCGCGGGAAACGGCACAAAACGAGAGAGAUGACAAACAACGAAGACAAAAUUAAUUUAGGAUCAUGUACCAAGAUUCAAAGUUUACAGGUAGAAAAAGGGAAAUUGCCUGCAAUAAAAAUAUAAAUGUACCUAUAAUCCAUCAGUUAAAAUAAAGUGCAGACUCAAUCUGAAAGAAAUAUUGCAUUCAUACAGAUUUACAACUGUAUCGUAUUGAAAUUUCUUCUGCAUAAAUAAUUGUACUCCAGUAAAGGCCGUGUUGAUAAACCGAAUCAGUUUACUCAACUUUGCUGGCAGUGUGCGCUUGUCUUAGCGCGCGUUAUCAUAUGAAUUCUGCCCCGGCCCGUUUUUUAAAUCUUAUCAUUGCUUCACUUUACAUGGUUUAGUGGGGCGCAUCACAAAGGGUAGACGAACCAAAUAAUUCAGAUGAAUCGUGGAUCAUAAAGGAGAUCCAAAACGAUUUCCACCUUUUUUAACAGAGUUCUGUAUAUAGUUAAAGAGAAAACUGUUACUGACAGCAGGACAUUACACACCAAUUCCCCUGGUCUCCCCCUGGCCUUUCCCUGCAUUCAUAAAUAUCCCCUCGCCUGCUUCCCCUAAUUACCUGGCAUGAGCAUGGCUGUUUCCACUUCCCUCUCACACAUAAUAGAAACUGCUUUUUAAUAUCCAGGCAUCAUAAAAUGUCAUGCUGACUUAACAGACAUGAGGAGCAGAAGGAGCAAUAACACAAGGGAAGGCCAGCCUGGGAGUGGGGGGGGGGGGGGGCAGCAGUAGGGAAAGAGGAAUGUGCAGUGAUUGUUUACACUCAUUUUACCUUUCCUCAUUUUCUUUCUUUCAAUUCCCUCAUCUGUUUUGGCAUUUCUUCUGUGAUUGGUCACUUCAGGCAUUCGAUUCGUGUUACUAUUCAGUAGUAAGAUGUUUGGAAGCAGAUGGAAGGACAAGUGAUUUCCUACAAUAAACUUGACAUCAGCUUAGCAGCUGGUGGUGAAAAGGGUUUGAUAGCACUUCAUAUAAUCACAUCCAGUGUUUGUUUAACCUACUUCUCAAAUCUGAAUCUUUUAAACUCUAAUAUAAAAAUGUGCCCUAAUUGGUAGCUAUUAAUCAGCAUUAACUUUAACAAAGCUGGCUUAGUGACUUUUUACAACCUAACCAUGAGCCUCUGACCAUAUGAAAUAUUGACUGUUAAUUUGAUGAUUGCAAUGGUGGAUUUAUAGGAGACUGUUUGGUGUCGUAGCUCACAAAUUAUACUGCUAACUUCCGAUGUCUCAUAUUUAGUGGUCCAUUGACAAAAGUCAUAAGUCAUAUUUUCAGGACAUUUCCUUGUUCUAAAACUUCAGCGCUUGUCAUCACUUGAAAGCGGCUUGCAGAUUUCCGAGUACUUGACUCUAUAGUCGGCUUAGCUUUCAUAGAUUGUCAUUAGUCAGACAUCUGAAGCACUUCAGCAGGACCAUUAGUCAACGUGUAGCCAACACCACCCACUUGGACAACAGAGACGGAUGACCUGCCAGUUCCCACUGCAUCUUUCACUCUCCGGAGAAAAGCCAGAGACGGCUUUCGGGAGUGAAAAUAAUCAAGUUUACACCCCUUGUUAGAACCUUGUUUUGGAAUGAAGUGGUUAUUAAUCAGAAUUUAGAAGCCCUGCUCGUUACCUGCUCUGAUUCUGCCGUGUUUCUUCACUAGUUCCGUCAGUUCUCGCAUCGAGCGUGUAACCAGGAUUUUCUCUUUAAAGAUAACGUAUAAUAAUUUCCACUUUUCCUGUUGGCUAUAGGCCCUUUGCCUCCUGUCUGCCUCUGUGGGCUUUCAAUAAUUUUUCACUGGGCAGCGUGUGAUGGAUAGGUUGUAUUUAUUCACUGUUGGGCGUCUGCUAUGUGAAUAUGACUCAUUUCUAGGCAUUACGUAUUCAUGGCUUGGGAUAGGACGUAUACAGGAAGUUAUAAUUAAUGUGUCACAGUGGGAGGUGUUGGUAGACGGCAGGUUUGUUGGAGGGCGUUCUGGAGCAUAAUGUGAUUUACAGUACAAACAACUGGGAGGGUGUUUGUCUGAGUUUAAAAACUGAAAGGCAGUACUUCUUUGUCAUUGCAGACCCUGAUAAGUCUUCCAGCGUAACAAUGUCCUGGAGAACAUAACCAUUCCACACAGGACAAUGUUGCCAACAAUAAUAUCUCCUAUCAUUUUUUUUUUUUUUACCAUGUAUUACCUGUAAAGGCCUAUAAACUUAACUUUUUGCUGCGUAAAUGGCCACGAGUUAAGCAGCUGUUUCACUUGUAAGAAGUUUCACCUUGUGGCAGAAACAUUCCCGUGUUAUUCACAAACAGCCAUGACAGUCAGACCUGGUGCUCAAGCAUUAAAUGAUGUAAUUGAAUUGUCCUCAUCCGUGGGGACAAUAUAGUUAACCUCAGUGAACACUGUGCUCUUACCCCGAUGUGUAUUAAAUACGGCGCAUUGUAGUGUGUUGACGCACAAUUACAAACAUGACUUGUAAUGGAGGUGCAAUGAAAGUCUUGGCAUCACAUCCUAAUAAAAAUAGCAGGUUGUUACCGGAGUUCACCGGCUACUGAGCGGCUAUUCAGAUAAGCACAAGCGCAUACCGCUGUUUGCCAAAUACGUAGGUUUGAGUCUGGGUGUGUUUGCCAACACCUUUUUAUAGUUUUUGUUACUAACCUGUGUGUGUGUGUUUGAUUUGCCUUUGUGCUUAUAUUAACAACUCCUCCCUCCUGUUGUGUGUAGUACAGUGCUCCCUAUCUCCACCUCUGUCUGUCUCCGGUGUGGGCCAAGGUCCUGAGUAAUGGCCAACCGUAAUCACCCCCGGUUUGUUAGUGUGUCUGGCUCAGACCAUUUCCAGGUGCGUGACCUGAUUCUCCUGCGGGGUAGGUGGUCUGAGGAGGCACAGGACCGUUUAUCACAGAGCAAAAGUCCAUUUAGAGGGCAUGUCUGUGUGGAUAUGUACCUGUGUGCAUCUACUGGAAUAAUCUCAAAGUGACAGACACGAUGAUGGUUGUCCUUUCUUUCUUUUUUAUUCACUCUCGUUACUCUUCAGGGUUCUUUCGUUCUCUGUGCCAUUUUGUGUAAAUAUGAGUGGUGCCUUGUAUCCGUUGGUGUCAGCAGAUUAUGAUCCUCCACUGAGCCUUAUAACCUUGUGGGGAGAAGGAGCCUUAAGGCCAAGACAAACAUGGUAAAACCUGUCUGAGACCAGUGCAAAUGGUAAGUGGCAGCAGUUGAAGCUCAAAUGAGCAGUUAACGUAAUCAAAGACCUUUAAAAAAUAAAACGGGAACACCCAGGUUUGAUCAUUAAUGAGCAUUUUUGUGGAUGCUGAAAUAGAAAAUGGAGGACUAAAGUCAUUUGGUCACCAUACGUCUUGUUUUGGGGUUUGAUCUGAGAAUUCAGGAAUGUUCCAGAGACACAGCAAAUAAACUCACUGCUGCUUGAAGGCGAAACCUAGCACUCAACCACGGGCCGUAAGGAAUUAUCCCUGAUCCACAGUUUGGGAAACUUGACGUCCACCUCAAGUCUCAACCCUCUAUUCAUGCUUUUUUUUUUUUUUUUUGAGUGUUAAAAAGGGGUACGGUACCCCACGUAUCUGUCUCACCCCUCCUCUUCCCACCCCCCGUUUCUCCAUCCCUCCUCUUGCCAACAUAUUUUCACUGGCCGUAAUCCUAUUAGAGGCAUUAUGUAGUUUAUUGUUGGAAAGGAUUAGAUUUGGAGAGGAAUAAUAAGUGGGGGUUGAGAUCUGAAUGGGGUCUCUCUCCCUCCUGUUGGCUUUAACCAGAUUUGUUAUUGUAUUAUGUUGUAUAAUCAUAUCUGUUUUCAGAUCGUGCAGUAGUUUGGCUUAAGCUGCUAACGAGACAUUGGUUUUACUGUAAGUCGGCUCUGGUAGAGAUGGUGGGUUUUUCACAUGAAUUUUGGGGCUUAGUAACCGUUUGUUUUUAGGAUUUUGCGGCGGCCACACAUAUGUGACCUUAAUUUGAUAACUAGUAAAGUAUUGCAUUGGGCGGUGGGCUGAAGGGAUUUCUAAGCCGUCUGGGUCCUCCAUCGGGAACACAAAUACCUUCCUUUCGUGGUUCAAAGCGGCUUCUUCUUUACUUCUUUUCUGAAUGUGUUGACUUUGAACACCUGCGGUGAUAUUGUAGAAGCUGUGAUGCUGAUCUUGUUAUCUUUCUCUUCUUUACUUCAAUUGCUUUUAUUGAAUUAUAGAGCAAACAAGCUUCAAAGAUAUCAUAAACUGUGUGCCACAAGCUGUGGUAUUAAUUGAAAAGUAGGUAUAAUUGUCAUAUGGUACGUUUUAGGGAAAGGACAGAAGUGCGAGGAUUCAUUCUACAUUUAAAUCUGAAUUAUUUUCAUAAUACUCGUUUUUUUUCCCCUGUUGAAUUUGAUCUCUGCAGUUAUUAUUUACAGUAAUGAAUUCCCAUGCACCUUCACUAUUGCCUCCUUUUUAACUCCAGCUAUUCUGAAGUCAAUGGGAAAUAUUAAGAUGUGAAAAAAGCAAACUUUUGAUUUCAAGAACCAUAAAUUCAGAGGAAUUUGGUGCCUCCUUCUUUCUUUCAAAUGCAAAACAGCUUGUUAUUUCUAGGAGAUUUUGAAAUGCAUGCUGCCCGACAAAUUUUAAAGACUCAGCACUGCCCUUUUAGGUUAUACGUUUAGAGAUUUCUGUAGUGUUUAUGGUCUGUGAAAUGCACUCUUGGAAAAUGUCCAGUUAUCCAAGGCAGCGUGCACAUUUUAAUUUAAUUUCAACACAUUUCAGAGGCUCCUCAACUCUGCCUCAAAUGUAAUGUGAAAGCCAGAUGCUGCAUUCAGCUUGUGCUGCGUUGGUUUGAGUUACAGGCAAACGCUGAUAGACUGGUUCAACAGGCUUGGUUAUUGCUCAAGUCAAACACAAUCAAAGUGACUUUAAACAAAAUAUGUGCUUGACUAUAAUGAGCUGCUGUAUGCUACAUGUUGUGAUAAUUAUCUGCAGUUAUGUGGUUCACCUGCUUGUUUAAAAGCUGGCAGGCCUUUUCAAAUAGCCUCUGCCUUAUACCCUUGAAAUGUGUUUUUGUACCCGUUCUGUACAUUUACACUCUGUUUAUUCUUUUAUGUGGUUGAGGAAUAUACGCAAUCACUCUCUAACCGCACACGCAUUAACGCUCACACACAUACGUAGCAAUGUCUGCAAUCCAAAUGACGCAAAAGGUCAUUUUUGAUGGCUGUUUCAUGGCUGUCCCAUUUGCUACUGCAAGCAUUGUUUUGGAUCAAUACAUUUCAAAAUGUUCUAUGGUAAAGGCUCAAAUAUCAGGUCCGAGUUGUUCUGAGUUUGCUUGGACUUAAGGUAAGCCUGUUUCGCCUCACUGCAUCUCAAAACAUUUCUUUGAGGGAAAGCACAUAUUUACCUGUUUGACAUCAACUUCCGUGGCUCAGCUUCACGUUGUUCAUGACAUUGAAGCAUCCUGAUGUUUUUUACGAUUGACAGUCAAUGCGUUAUCGUGUAAGUUAAACACAGAUUGGAAUACCUGAUACAACCCUGACAGUCAAAUUACGACAAGCAAAAACAAAAGGUAAGCGCAACUGACUUAAGUCCGCUCCACAGGAGCUGGAACAGGCGGGUUUGUGUUCUGUCAUUAAAUGGAGAAAUCAAUGUAAUGUACAAUGAUUCUGUAGCUUCACAAACAGGAAUCUUUACUGCAAAUAGAACAUCCUCACACGUUGAGUCUUUGACAGAAUAGUUAGAUCGGUGUAGAUAAGUGACAUACAGAGUUUAUUAUGUUGCGCCUGUUGGAUACGGUUUCGUGUUGGGAGAAGUCAUCACAUCUCAAAGUGGCUCUUGCACAAGCUGCUUUUGUUACUUUAUCUGAGGGAUGCCAGCUUAUGGUUCUGGCUGCUGAUUAUUUACAGUGUCCUUGGCAAAGACCCUUUAAAGAACCGAAAAACAAAAAAACUUUAACUCAAUUCAAAUAAGAUGAACAACAUUAACAUUGUUUUAAUGGCUUAUGCACUAAAUAGAGUUUAAAAUACAUAGCUUACUUUUUUUUUUUUUUAGAUCCAAGUAUCGUCCUCACAAAAUCUUCUGCCUCCUAAUUCACUCAAAGAACCAAAGAGGUGUAGUUUUCUGUAACUUUGCAAAAGUCACAUAAUCUGAAGUCACACAAUCUGCAGUAAUGUCACAAUUGACCCCUCAGCCUUUGAUUUAUGUGUAAAGCCAACCGUUGUCACAACAUCUGGUCUCUCUACCAAAUCUGUGCCGUUUGCACAAACUCACUGGUGUUGCCGACCGACUGCAGCUGCUGUGCUCAAAUGUUGAUUCACAAAAAUUGAGCUCUUCACCUUGAGCCAAGCAGUAACUGAUUAGCAGACAUAGAUUGUCUUUGUAGCACUGAUUGAUUCCGUUGCAUGAGAAAGUGGCUUCUGCCUUCUCACAUUGCAGAGGUCAAUCAAUCCUUUCAGUUAGUCACAUCAGAAUUAUUUUUUUUGGCAAACAUUUACAGUUACAUAGUUUAAAAAGCACUUGAAUGUACUAUCCAUGAAAUGUAUUAAAGAAGCAGCAUUCAGCAGGAUGCUCCGAGAAAUAGACAUUCUGCGUUGGAUAUUAGUCCAGUCCCAUAAGGGUUUCCUGUACAACAAUAAUCAGCAUGUUUCUUUGAAAAUGUUCUUUAUUUGAAAAUGUUUCUAUACUGUAAAGGAUUUGCGUCGUCUCCUGCUGUCCUUAUUUAUAAAGCCUGUGAUUACAUCUCUCCUAGAAUUUAAUUAUUUACCGUUCUGCUGUCCUUCAUUGUGAGACAUUUUCUGUAUAAUCAUCUGUUAUGCCUGUUAAGUGCAACACGGGUUAUUCUUUUAUCAAAAUCGUAAUGCUCAAACUAGAAAGAUGAACGUUGGUAACAUUGUACCUGAUUAACAACAACAUGUUAGUCACUGUGUUGUUGCACGACAAUUAAAGUCAUCGUGUUCACAUGCUGACUGAAACUGUCACUGUCAUUCAUCAUAAAUGGCCGUACGUACAAUGGUGAAGAAGUUUGUAAAAGCCUCCAUUUGUAUCAGUCUCUUCAUUACUUCAUGUCAAUGUCACCUCUCAAAGCUAUCUUAACCAUGUUACUAAUCCCCGAGUUAAGUCCCUCGCCACUCCUUUUCCCAGGUCAUCCUCAAUCAUCUACAGUAGUUUAACUACCCAUCAUUAAUCAGGCUGCUUUGCGUUCUGCUGUUUCUGACUGGACGGGCUGCUGGGAGAAAUGCAGUACUCGUAUUUCUCUCUGGCUAAAGCACAGCACACUACAGACCUGAUGUGGAUGAUGCAGCCGGCAAGAUUAAUUGGGCCCAGUUACAGAGGAUCAGCAAGUUUGGAGCUCUUCACAUGCUGCUCCUCCAUAUGGCAGCAGAGAAGUCACAAACUAUGAUUAAUAGUUCAGGCUUCUCUGUAUCUGGUUGUGGCAUUCAUAAUUUAAAUAGUUUUCAAAAACGUUUUGUUCUUACUAAGAAAUGUUUGAUCGCAAAUUCACUUGUAGAACUCUUAAAAACAAAAUGCAAAUCCCAAACAUUGUACGCUGCUUUUAUAACUAAGACGUUACUGGUGAUUUCACCGGUUAAGCAGAUAUGCAAAGCAUUCAUUAACAAGUGCAGCGUGUAAGCUACUUUGCAAAAUUGUCAAGGCCAACUGUAUCAAAGUUGCUCCAAGAAGGGUUGGCCUUGACAUCAAGUUAACUCCUAACACUGCCUCUAUUUUUAGUUCAGAAAACAAAAUUUGGCCUCAUUAUUUUUGGUAUUUAUCUUAUCUUUUUAUAUUUUACAUGACUUUGGCCUAAAAGUGUGUUUCCCAGCAAAAGUGGCUGCAAAUUGCCUCAGGUCUUAUUUGCCUCAGAGGGCCCGUGCGAGGCGGUAGUGUUGUGGUCAGCACUCCAAAGACUCUUUGAAUUGCAAAUCACCGCUGUAACUCAAAAGUAAUGCAGCGGGGAUCCUCACCUCCUGUCAUUUUUCUGCAUUUGGGUGCAUGGGGGGCACCAUUGUAGAGAAAGUGCAGUUAUUGUUUCUGUCUCUGGUGUGACUCGUCCUUAUUGUAGGGAUGACUUGGGCCUGCUCUCUCAACCUCCACGUCUCUAAUGUGCCAGAGGGCUCCCUUGGCUGUAAUAUUGCCCGUCUACGAGCAUUACCGCGUUGUGUACCGGGACUUUUCCCUGAUUAAAGGAAAAUGAACCAGAGAACUGAUGGUUUGGCUUAAUUCACAACAGCAACAAACUUUUGCUGGCGCUUCUGCCUGCACUGAAAGUUCAGAAAAACUUCUGAUGUUGUGAGUAUCCUUCAUUCAGCCAACUGGUUGAAUUUUGUUUCAUAAAGAUGUGCAGGGGAAACUGACAGAAAGGUGUGUUAAAGAUGUGUAAUAGCUUUGAUCCUAUAAUACACUCAUUAAUAUGGUAACAGUGAGAUAUAUGUGAUAUACGUGUUAUUAUAAUACAUGUAAAUCAUUUAACACGCUGCUUUGGGACAGGAAUUUCAGUACUAUGAAAUAAUUCAAUUACCAGCAUUUAUUUUGGCAAUGAAUAAAGGAAAGCAAUGGACAUGUUUUUGGUAUCUGAAAAUAUUUUACAUUCCAUUUGAAAUCUAAGGCUGUCUGUUAGUGUGUCCAAAAAUACAAUCGGCAUAUAUGCAAACUGACUGAAAAGAGACAGACAGAUGCAUCUCCUGCUUGUAGUCUCACCUUUUGAACUGGAUGUGUCCAAAUGGCAUGGGAGCUUUUAGUAUCACCCUCUGCUCCGCUGGUGAUUUAAUUGUAGGUGUGUGUGUGUGUGGUUGGUUGCACAUUUAUGUAUAACAUUAUACCUUCCUCUGGCCUUAAUUCUUAAACAAAACAAAAAUGCUGACGUCAACAAUCUACCGGAAAAUGUAACUUCAAUCUACCAACAAUAAAAAAAGAAGUAUUUGUCUUAUUCAGGUUGCGAAGUACAUAAUUUGAACUGGUAUUUAUUAAUCUGUGACACUACUGGUUUGUGUGGCAGGCAGAGGCAGAGGGAUAAAACCACUGCGGGUCCAAUACAUGCUAAUUAAUUCACCAUGUCUGUCCUCCCUUUGCCUUCGGCAUUGUGACUUCAGUUUUGUGAAGUUCUAUGGAUUUGAAAUAGAAAUUAUUGACUCUCCAUUUUGGAUUAUUUCUCUUCCUACACUCCAAAACAUCUUUUUAUUUUUUAUUUUUUUGCCAAAUGUAAUAACUACAGAUAAGACAAGCGCAUGCAUUCAUACGAGCAAUAUUAUUUGGAACAGGAUAUGGUUCAAAAUAAAGGGUGUCUUUGCAUUUCGAAUGCAGUCUAAUCCGUUUAUAAUUACACAGUGAGGAAGUGAAAUAGUGGUCUGACUGUUUGAAUGUGUAAUCCCCUUCAUGUGCAUAAACAUGAGCAACGGGGCUGGACUAAGACUUCUGGAUAAUUACCUGGGGCAAGGAGUAUUUUGAUAGACCUGCCCUGCCCCCUCCCCCCCCUCGCCCUUUUCUCUGUAAAUAAUGCAUACAAAGUUGAAAUCAUAGAAGCCAAGGAAAUGUAAAAUUACCUUCAAAGACGGGUGUAAAAUUGGGCAGCUCAUCCGAGUAGACAGGAAAUGAACCAAUGUUGCUGUUAUUGUGAAAGAGCUAGUGCGUAUAUUCCAGAUCUCUAAAUGACAACCUCAACGAAAGCUGUCAGAUAGGAUUUAUUUGAUCUAUAAUGAUAUAGCAUGCCUACUUAACAAGUCAUAUUACAUAUAGAGGAGAGUUGACUCUUGUUUUUUUUCUCAUCGGCCUGAGAGACAGCGGGACUUUCAGGGUUCACAGUGUUGUUGCCUAAUCUGUGUCCUGUCCCUGCACACGUCAGUAUACACUCCUUGACACAAUAUACGUGUUUAGCUUGAACCCCUCGAUCAACCCCAUAACAAUAAUAUUGGCCCCAAAGCUUUUUAAGAAAACAUUGCUGUCAGAAAAGGUGUCAGAAAACAUUCACAUCAAAUUGACAUUGUAUGUUUCUAUUACUACCAUACUGAGACCUUGCACGAGUUGGACAAUUUAAAGUAACGGUUGUGUUACUUACUUUUAAAAUGAGUAAAUAACAUGUAUAAUUGUUUUUCCUACAAUCAUCACAUAUAAUUCAUUGUCACACUUACUGUCUCCUCGAGCUUUAGGCUAACGGAGGCCCGUGCUGUUUUUGAGUAAAACCAUCAUGGUGGUGUUACUCCUUAUGUUAAUAAAGCCUUUCUGCUGACUUCUGAAAUGGUUCAAUUGUCAUUUAAACCUUUCCCCAGUCCCAUUUUAGCCAUGACUGGGGAGGAAAAACAAGUGUUGAUGCCCCUUUUAAUUGUGCUGGAGAUACAUUUGUUUUUAUCCUCACAAAGUUGGAGCAUUACAGUUAAAUGUCUUUGCUGAAUUGCAUAAUGAGCCCUACAUAAUUGUUUGAGACAUAAAAGCUUACUUUGCAGUGCAGAUACAUUCUAAGACAAGAUUAUUAGGGCCACCAUUAGACUAUCCUUGGAGAAGACAAACCACGAAAAAUGCGCAAUAUUUGAGAAAAUAAAAGAGGCAACGACUUUAAUAAUUUCUCCCUUUUUGAAAAGUAGUUUGUUCCCAUUUUGUUGUUUGAGGCAUACAAUGGAAAAUACUGUGGAAAUUGUUGGAAAGAUUAACUUCAUUAAGACUAAUGGAGUGCAAGUUAUUGCAGAUUGAUGACAGUCGGGAUGAAAUUUGAUACUAAAAGGAUUAUUUAUGCAGCUUCCAAUUCUCCUUCACAUAAUCAACACCUAAAUGACCCUCUGUACAGAGCGGAAAACUCCCAUUCUUAGUCCAUGCGUAAUAAGCUCAAUAAGGUCUCUCAUAAAUCACUGUAAUUGAAAGGAUUCCUCCCUGGCCGUUCCUUACAGACACCUCCAGGACACCGACAUGGUGAACGCUCUGUGAAGCUCCGUUUGAACUGCAGAUGAACUGGAGGGUGAAACCUCGUCUGACUGAAUAGAACUGAAAACGACCCAACAGAAAGAUGAGUUUAGAGAUUUCACAUGCAGAUAAUUAACUCUGCAUUCAUUUGAUCUGGAUGAAACGGUUUGACCAGACAGUCUGAGCAAUUUGGCCUCAAUAGGAAGUUUGGUCCUAAGCUAUAAUUUAAAAAAAAAAUAGUACUUCUUCUUAGAAAAAGUAUUCGUAUUUCUGAUUUUAAAAAAGCUGCCCAUCAUGCAAUGUUGCCAGUUUAACUGAAAGUCACCUCAAGUUUCAACAUCAUACAUGUGUUACAUACCGUUUCCUGCACAGUGAAGACCAAACUCCACAUAAAGUAAUAAUACGCAAAAGCGGAAGGAAACCUUUAUAACAAAAAACAAUUACACGUCCUUUCGUUAAGGCUUCUCAAAUGAGAAACUUUGCUUAUUUCUGUCUGUCCUGUAUCUUUGUCUGUAUCUUUGUCCUGGCUUGUCUUUGCAUUUCUUGAAUGAAGGCAAAAUACAACAUUUCAUUAAAAAAAAAAAAAUAAUAAUAAUAAUUUUAGACUUUACAAACUAAACUAUACAAACAUUCGUCAUUAGAAGCCCUAAAGGUCGCUCCGUUAUCCAGACGCCCACGCUGACCUUGACUAUGCCGGGUCUCCAGCAAAGCCCAUCAGGUGGGAGGGUGUUUUGAUCACAUGAUGGUUGCCUUCCCUGGAGCCUUAGGGACAGGUGAGAGACCUCCGUAUUAAGUCACUACAUUAAAUCUGUCUCACGCCCGACCCAUUAAGGACAGUUUCAUCACCAUUAAGCAGGUCGUAGUGCCUCUCCCUGCUCCUUUGAGUGGAAAAGAGUGGGUCUCAACUUGGUUGCUCUUGAUUUGAUGGAGUUCUGCGGUGCCGUUUGCCAUGAGACGAGGUGGAAGCAAUUGUCAAAUAACGUUCAUAAUUCUGUACUUUCUUCUUUCUCUCCUUUCAUUGUAAAUUGCCUAUUAAGCCCUUUGGACACUUAAGAAACAAGAAAAUAAGCUCCAGCCAAAGAAUUUCACUUUCGUAUCCAAUGGCCACUUCAAAACCUUCCUGUUAAUACAAGUGUGUAAUAGCUUGAUAGAGCUGCACAACGGAAACAUAUUAGAGAUGUUUUUAAGACGCAACGCUUGCAGUACAUGAAACCGGUUAAUUUUGUCACUUGAUCAGUUUUAUCAAAUCUGACAUAUUCACACAAAUAAAAACGAUUGGCCUACUCCACCAGUCAGUCCCUAGAGACGGAUUCCUUCGGAAACCACAAAUAUGACUUGUAAUUGUAACAAAGCAUCUUCUGUGAACAUUUUUCAUUUUUACAUGUCGUCACCAUAUCUGCCACAUCUGAACACACACGUUCCAAACUGACUUGUCCCCACUGAGUCAGUGUUUCCAUGACCUGUGUGACCGGCUGUGUUAAGAGGGGGACACCUGUGAGGCCGUCCUCAUCUUGGGAAUUCUCUGAGAUUUAUUACCUAUUGAUACGCGCCUUCGCUGAACCCCCCCCCCCCCUCCCCCGAAGACACCUACAGUACAUUGUUGACUCAUGAGUUGCACAGUCUCUAGCCCAUGAAUCAUUUUCUUAGAAAGAAUACCCCCCCUCUUUCUCCACUCUCCUUUUCUGUGAUUUCACAUUCUCUGUCAAGUAGAUAAAGUACUCUGUGUGCAGCCAAAUCGUGAUGGUGGAUGUUCCUUCGCUACAUGUCCUCUUGCUCUUCGUCGUUAUGGUUUUAUGAUACAAUCAGUAGCUGGGAACACAGAUUUACCUUUGUAUUAUACCAACAGGGGUCUCGGAGCACUGUAAUGUUUAGUUCUACCUACUAUCCAUAUACAUUUUAACGUUGCAUUUUCUUUUUAAUCAUUUUAUACUUCUUUUCAUACCAUCUCAUCCCUAACUUUUGUCUUAGAAGAAAGGAAACAAUCUGUAUUUUAGCAUUUGACCGUUUCCUGAAAUCAUCUUAAUCAGCAGUAAAACAAGCACAACUUGGUAUUGUAUCUCUACACAACCCUCGCUGUGAUUCGAGUGUGCUCCUUCUUCCGGGUACAGCAUAUUAUGUGCAUGCCUAUUUGCCAUGGAGACAUUGAAAUGUACAAUAACGGACGUAAUAAAAAUAAACUUGCCUGUCGGGGCUCACUUCUGCAUUCAUCAACAUCAUGUGAGUGAGCCUUCUGUGCUGGUUCAGCCUGGGAAACUCCAUUUGUCACCUGCUAAAUGCUGCCAAUGUGUCGUUUUGAAAGAGUCCAUGUAGGGUUUUUUUUUCAUCGCUUUGAGAAAAUACUCAAGGAAGAGCCUGUAGAAAUAUCUCCAUUUACAAGUUGAGUUUUAGAAAUGGAAUAAAACUGCUUUUCCUUGUACGACAUGAUUGGAAUUAUUCAAAGUUUUGGACUUUCUCUUUGAAUGUCUUGACUAGUUAAUCAGUCUGUUGAAAAAAAAUAAUGAAUUAUGGCUUUAAUUUAUAUAUACUUACUUUUUUUAUAUUUACUUGUCAUCUGUCUAUAUAGACAUUGAGCAAUCCUACUUUAUUGACUUAUAAGGGACAAAUGUAUUCUUACAAGUACAAUUCGUCAUAAAGGUGUGAGUAAGUUUUACAUGGAAGCAUAGCGCCAAACGUAGAUUAAAUAUAAAACACAUCUGGUCAUGUUGUAUACAUUUAUAUAUGUUCCUUUGAGGCUUUAUCCGAGCAGAGUUUCCUUUUGCCUUACAUUUACUUUACGCAGUGUGUCAAAAACGAUGUCUACGCAGUGACUUCUUGAUAAGGUUCUUGGGUACAAUAGUAUAGACGUUGGGAUAACAAAAGUCACGUUGUUUGGCGAGAAGAAGAGUUCUCCCAAGUCGAAAGAAGAGGAAAACCAAAAAACGUCCAAAGCAUUACAAUUGUCAGAGUAAGAAAUAAGAGGCACUUUGACAUUUUUUUUCCAGUAGUAGUGUCAUGCAUUAUUUAUCUGGAGAGUUUAUAUCAGACACCGAGGCUGAGCAGAGCAGCCAUUUUACAUCCCGGUCUCUUCAGUGUGUUUUAUGAUAAAUGUUCUCAAAGUGCUCUGCAUCUUACCCAGAGUGCACAUAAACUACAGGCCAGCUAAAGCCAUAACUCUGCUCAACCCACUCUCAGGAUUGCGAGCACCACUCCAGACGCUUAUUCAGAGUCCCAAAACAUAUUCAAAGUUCAACUCUUUUUCCUCCUUUCUCCAUGUGAUACAAAUUAUAAUAAUGUGGGCAUUGCUGCGUAUUAGAAACAUGCUUCAGUCUCUCACCCGCCGUCCAGUUGCAGCAGCCUGUAAAAAGUCCCUUUUAGGAGGAAAAUAUCCCACACCAAGCUUGUUUAGAUAUUGACUGUCUCAUUUAUACGACACAACGGGGACUGUCAGAAGCGUCAAAAAGAUAUACAAUAAAACCAUUAAAAAAAAAAAAGUAGUAAAUGCUGUAUUUUUUUCCAUUAUUUUUGCAGGUUGUUAAUUGAUGCCACUAUGGCCAAAGGUUCAGAGGGUCUUUCAGUGAUGAUUAGACACACUGACCGAAUAAGCCCCAUAGGUCUUAUCUCAGUUGCGCUGCUUGAUGAACUGUGUUUAUUAAAGAUGAUCAAUGUCUCCAGAGGGGUUUUUUUAGGUGAAGAGACCAGGUUCAGAACUGUGCUCUGUUUGCUUGAUGUCAUUGUUUUUAAUUCUCUCUCUCUGAGAUGAGCUUUAAAUGGUUUAAAAUCAAUUAUUGGUCCCAGUGGACAUUGUACGUAGCCAUUGUGACCAAUAUUAGAGGUUUGAUACCGUGUGAGGUCAAGGGUUGGUUCUUACUAUUAUCCUGUAGGGCCAGAGUUCAGCUGACCUGCAGCUGCAAAAUAAUCAGAUCAAACUGGUGCCUGGAGGAUCAUUGACUAUUCCAUAAACCCACACUUAGAGCAAUUACGACCAAACCUUGAUAAAGACUUGUUUUCUCUCUCAUUAAAAGAGCAAGGGGAUUGAGUCGAAAAGGUCCUUUAUUAACUCCCCCAGGUUCCAGUGCCAUGCAGACCAGUGCAUAAAUCAUAAUAAGCCGCAAUUAGUUCCCACAACCUGCAUAUCCAUGAGGAGAAAAAUAGAAAAGAAAAUAAGAAAUGCAAACAAAAGUUAGGAAAUGUAAAAGUCAUUGAUGAAGUCCCAUCUUUAAACAUAUAUACAUACACACAUGCUACGUGUCAACACCAGUGCUCUAUGUUUACACGUCUUCCAUCAUUAUUUUUUUUCAUAUUUUACACAUGUGAGUUUUCGGUAUGAAUAGCACAAGGCAUUGAGAGGGACCACAGUACAUUACGAGUAUUAACAGCCAUAUGGAUUUGGACCAAUAUGGAGUAAGAAACUAGAGCCUUCUGUCAUGUAUAGCUGGUUCUGUCUGGGCAUGUUUUCUCAGCUGGAAGUAAUGUUUGCCCACAGGAUGACUGACUUGGUGUUUCUCAUCUGCAUACAUGUUUGACAGGAGACUUUGAAGGGAUUGUUUUGACAGGAGUGCGUGGGAAAUUCUAAUGGAGGAUGAAAGAACGAUUUUUGUCAAAAUAUUGGAGGCGAAGAAGAAAACACCACCUUCAUAUUUUACUUCACUGUUUGGUUGCUAACAGAUGUACUGCUUUAAAAAAUGGGUAUUGAUUCGCAAAGAGAAUUGAGAGAGGAAAACAUUAUUUUAAGAUAAUCUUUUAAUAGUUCCUUUCAUGUUUAUUUGUAACCGAGUAGUUUAGUUCCAAACCGUUUAUUUAAAAUUUGACCAUUAAAUGAAAGCAAGCUGGCCGAACAGCAAAACCUUAUUUUAUAAAAAGAAGCAUGUAGCCAGGAAGCAGAUAAUUAAAUCUAAACUCUGAAAUAUGUUUGUGGAUGGGUUUUUGGUGAAAAUGCUUUUUUUUUAUGUGAGUGAACAGGCUGGUCUGAGUGGCCACCGUGACUUUUCCAUUGGAUGCAGUUGCUCUGUAAUUUUCAGGGAUUAGUGGCAGAGAAAAAUUCAUAUCCAGGGCGAUCCUGGAGCUUUGCUGUGCGACUUAUGAGCAGCUAUUAAAAAAAGCAGCGUAAAGGAACUUCAAAUAAUCUAUGGUUAAAUGGCACAAAGCGAUAGUCUUCUGGUCACCUUUACAGCCCCAACCUGCUUCAUCACAGGCUACUCUCCGACGGGGCUUGAACAGGCACAAGGACAUGCGGUCAGAACCUGUGGAUGGACUGAUGAUGGAUUUUAGUUGCACUGACGUCACAUGGUCGCACUCCCUGGAAUUCUGUCUGGGUCGGCUCUUACCGCCGUUUCCUGGUGGUUUGUAGAUGACGAGUCAACAUCAUGACUGCGUCCAGAGACUGCUGGUCCUCCUGGCAGCGGCCCCAGUGUAGUCCGCUGUCUGCUAUGGUCCUACUGGGCUUCUGGGAACACCUUGACUGCAGUGGCCCCAAGGGACCUCCAUGCUGGAGAAAACCCCCGUGGUCUCAUUUGUGUACUCCAGACAUUCCUCAACAACCCCCACCUCCAUCACCUAGUUAGCCCUCAGCACCGUGUCUUGUCUGUUUUCCUUUCUUUAUCUCUUUCUAGUGGUCUGACUUUCAUCUUGAGUAUUUUUCAUUUUACUGUCUUGUCGUACGGAUUGAGGGGUAGAUUUGGGGGAGGAAAAAGGAAGAGCAACUGAGGGAACUAGAAUACGAGCUGAGGUUGAAGGACAGGAAUACUUUUUUUUUACCUCCUGUCCUGACUUUGUGGUCUAUUCAGAGCUGGGCAGGCUUGUCUGGACAAAUAUACCAUUAUGCUUUACCAUCUGUCCCUUCAGAGAUGUACAAGUCACCCUGGAAUUAAAGGGAAACAUUUUAAUUGGUACUUGGAUGAAACAUCACUUGGGGACCCAAAUAGAUUUUGCAUAAUGACCAAUACUUCAAUCCCAAACGAAGGUCCUUUUUAGAAAAGCCAUACGUGACCUUUUCAAGGACGCAGACGACCCAGAGAGGUUGGUCCUCUUACCUAUCAGACCUUUAGCGUUUCUAUACAGGCUUGCGCAAAGGUCAGAAAACAUAACCUGCAGAAAAAUGUUUCACUCUCAGGAGUUCUGAAAAAUAAUGAUUGAUUAUUAUGUUUUUAAUGAGCAGGUGAGAAUUUUCCAGCAUAUGUUGGUGACACGUUCUGCAUGUUUAAUUAACACAGUGAGGUAGAUUAGCAUAACGAUGAGCAUCUGAGGCUCACAUGGUAUCUGAGAAGGGAAAUAAACCCUCACACAUAAUCUCAGUAUUCUACUCUUACUCCCAAAUAUCCUUGUUUGUGUCCUCCGUCUAUCCGUGCUCUCUCCAUUUGCCCUCUCCUGGGGCCUGAGGGGGGCCUUUUGAUAUGCCCCCUCUCUCUUGGCAAGGUUGUUUUUCUUCAUUAGGCCCUCUGGGGGCUACCAGAGUCCCAAAGGAUGUCAGAGUACAUUAAUUCUCAUCAGGACAUGGGUCCUCUCAGGUGUGAAUGGCAGCCAGCAGCUGUCGACGGGGCUUUCUCGACUCCUACCGCAACGCAUGCAUCACCCCAAUGCAUGCGCACACGGAUGUAUAAUGAGAAGCCAGACACACGCGUAAGUAUGCCGAUGAAAGAAUCAUCACACAGAAGAGGAUUCACAUUGAAAUCCUAUCUCAAUUUAGGCCCUGACCCUGGAUAAUUACAAAAGCAGCCAUGUAUCUUUAUAGUCUUUAGGGGGACAGAACGCCUUCUCUGCUUAAUUUUCCAUGUGAGUAAAUUUGCUGGGUGCAUUGUAGGAGGCUUUGUGAUUGCUCGUAGCCUCUCCGCUGAGCGCCCCGACCACCAUUGGGAUAGAUCAUACAAUCUCUCUCUUUUUCCCUUUCUCUCUCCGUCUCCUCUUGUUUUUCUUUCAUAGCAUGACAUAGCCGUGCAUGUGUCUUACCAAGAUAUUUUCUCAAGUAAUUACAUGCAGUAAUUCCUCCCAGUGCGGUUGUUAUGGCUCCCUGCAGACGUGUAUACAAAUUACUCAUAUUUGCUCUGUGGUCCAAGCUGUGUGCUGUCCCACAAGACGAGGUUUAUAUUAUGAAGGUCUGCCUAUUAAAGCCAUUUGUCAGGGUCUUCACUCCUGGGAAGACUUAGUAGGACACUAAAUGAGAGGUUAGCCUUAAAAGUCAGUUGUUAAUUACUUCAUUUUGUUAUAGAAGGCUUCACAUUGGAUUCUGACUCGACAGCCAAACCCUAAUCCUCGUAUAAACCCAGACGGUGCUCUAAAGCAGUGGAAAUUGCUCCUUCUGCUUACGGCAGUUAGUACAAGUUAAAAUAUGUGAUGGGGGUAAUUCUAGGAGGCUUUAAGGCUGUUCCUAUUAUUAUUUUGUCAUUCUAUGAUUAUUUUGUCAUCAUGGUGCCAUAUUUUCCAAUGUCUCUGGUUGUUCCAUGAAUUACUUAUCUGUAUUCUUCAUUACUGGAUUCAUACAGUUAGUGUAUGUCUGUGGGCUGUGGCUCUCUCUCACUUCCAAGAGCUUCCUUUGGAGUCCCAGUAUCCUUUAUUCAGUAAUGGUUUCUAAUUAGAGAAAGGCUGGAUUGGAAUAAGGAUGUAUCCAAUCGAAGCUGGAGGACAUUUCCAGGCUAGAAUAUACAGAAUUGUCCAUUAACUGGCAUCAUCUUUUGAAGAUGAUGACAGUGUGGCAGAAUUAAAUCCUCUCAGAACAUCCACAUGGAACUUCCUGCUCUCUGAUAGGGGGCUGUGGUGGAGCUAUAGCCUGAACCCUCCUGACAAUGACUUCUCCCCUUGGAGCAGUUGACCUCCUCAAUUUUUGCCACCUUGUUUUGCCACUGGUCUCUAGAAGAGGGAGAAAAAAAUCGUUAGGCAGAUGCAAGCGCUGCUUUACAGAUUUGAGCAUUUGAGGAGCUCUAUUGAGUGGCUUCUCACUGUAUCCUCUUCAUGUCAGGGAGAUUCAUCUCUGUCAGAAUUACAUAGUCUCCAUUUAGCCAAAAGGCCAGCAACCCCCAAGACAGAGACCUCUCUGUGCUGUUCUCUGUGCUUACCUGCUACCAGACGUUUAACACAGAGCUGGAGCAGGAUGACCGAGAGAUGAAGGCAUAAAACCACCACAGGGGGGAGGAGACUCGCCCCAUUCAUCGAAACCGCACUGGUUCCAGAAGCUUGUAAUUCCUCUGGAGCUCUUGUGUUGAUGGCGGGUUGGCAAAGCUUUCAUUCCCAGAAACAGGGUGAGGUAAAAGAUGGUUUAGGGAGGAGUGCAGGAACAAAAGAGGACCAUUGUCUCACUCAAGGUCACUUUUCAAAUCAGGCAAACCACACAUGGAAUCCAAGUGAGCGUACUGGCUCAGAGCAGCCAAUCACACUUGGGCCCAGCUAGCUGGCCCCAUCACUCUGCUCACUGCACCCACCGGGGGAGUUAGGCUUUAGGUUACAAAUGAGCAAUUACCACGGUCUGAGUUACGCUGUUUUCACCCUGUUUCAUUUAACUUUGUUUAUCUUUUAUCUCACAGUUUGCUUUAAGAGUGAACUGCCUUUCACAGCAAAAACAGUCAGCCAUAUGGAUGUAACUCAAUGCAAUUGAAUUGCAAAGGUAUCAUUGCUAUAUAUAUACAUACAGUAUAUUUUAUAUUACUGUGUUACUGACAAUCUAACCUUUGAUUCAGAGUUUGUGAGGGCUCAGUGGUUUGGGGCCACACCUUCAUCAUUCCCGGCUGUCAGUGAACCUGCACUGGGCCGCCGGGUCACCUUGUGCAUUUCAUCUGUUCACUGGAGCUCGACUUUCUGCUUUUAAACUCAGGAAAGGGAAAAUCAAAGAGGCCAAAUUAGCCAUCUACAGGCCUGCAUGUAAAAAGUUUUGUAAUUGUUUGGGCGUGUUUCACCAUCAAGUAGUUGACAUUCCAGUUUCAGUGUACUAUUUGUGUUUGUCAGUCUAGCAUUAAGUCACUGUUUGUGGCAUAAUGAAUGAAAAAAAUGAUGAAGAAAGAUACUAUUAAUUUUUGAACAAAACCUACCCCUUGUUAAAGGUUGUCAAGUAGAGGACAAAUACACUGUAAAAUAAAUGUGUCUGAUGGCAUUCAAACUCUUCUUACAUCGCCCAUCUUACUAGAUCUUGUACAGUAAAGUGCUGUUUGACUUGCAGUACAAUUUACAAGAUAAUUGACUCUUAAUUGUAUUAUUGUGAGGAACCGAGUAUUGGGGAAGUUUAUCCCCAAUAGUAUGAUCCUCAAUCUCUCCGUGUUACUUUGGUGCAGUGUCAGUUGUGCUUUGGACCAUGGCCCAGACACCCAUGCAAUGUGACAGGGGAGUACUAUUAAGGUUUCCUAAUCAAGUCCUCUCUCCUCCUCCUUCUCCCCCACCCCCCCUUUUCUGCCUUCACAGAAAUCCAGUGUUUUGGCAGAGAACUCUUUGCUAAGGAUUCAAGGCCGUGUUAGGUUUGGAUGUGGGCCAAUCGCGUCGUCUUAUAUCUGCCCUCCUUUGCCAUAUGGGAUGGUUGCUGCAAAGCGGCUAAAGCGGGGACAGUCAUUGCCUUUCUGCAAAGAGACUUCCCCACCGACUUCAUCAUUAUUGUAAGAGAGGGAGUUAUUGCAGAUAUGCCGGAAAAGCAAGAAAAUUGAUUGGAUAAGGAAAGAGAUAAAUAAUCUUUAAGGCUCAUCCUACUUACACCACGCAUCCAGAAGUGGUUUUUGGCUAUUGAAGGAUUUGUUGCUGGUUACAGAAAAUCAUGUAUUAAUACUGACAAUGAGGCGUGGGGGUGGAAAGGAGCUGCUGAUUAUGCGCCAAUGAAUUUCAGCCCUGGUCCAGGUUUUGAGCUGCAGCCUGUGGUGGAGGCCCUGCUGCUGCAUGGUUAUCUCAUAAUAACCCCGGGCAUCGAAGCAUGACCACCAGCCACUUCCAGCUCUCUUAAAGAACUCAUUAAGUAGGCCUCAUAUUUUUUCAGCUGCCAGGUGUCUGCCGGCGGCCGUGGACUGGGAUGAAGAGGCCAGUGUGUCCACACCACGCAGGGGUGGAAACUACAAGGUUACUACAAGGAAACUACGCGUUUUUCUUUUUUGCAGGGGGGGCAGCGGGGCGGCGGGUCAGGGCUCCGCUUGAGGAGAUAGGACUGGCUAGAACUACUUGCAAAUCGUAAAAGUACAGAGGCUGUGUACCACUGUACACUGCAGGCCGGUCACUCUGCAAGUGCGGCUUGAAUUUCUCGUCCAUUUGCAGCACCGAGUGUAAGCCACAAGGGCAGGUUAUGGUAUCAAUAUAAGAAUUUGGAACAGCCCCCAAUUUGGAAAUAAAUGAUUGUUUAGCAACACGGAUACUGUUCCUUUCUAUAGGGACGGCUACAAUUCAGCAAGAAAGAAACCUGACAUCCCUCUUUGUAGUGUUGCACGGUGUACCGGUACUAGAAAGGUACCGCGGUACCCUUACGUUGAAAACAAUACGGUUUUGAAUAUUUUUAGUACCGGUACUUUAAAAAAGCAUGCAAUUGGAGCGCACUCACUGUUCCGCUCCGUGUCAGGCUGCCUGCACACAUUGACUGCGCAGCUCUCACACAUGCAAUUAUCAGGGGAGACGCGCCCUCAUGUAGCAGACUGCUCACCCAUAUACAGCCUAACACGAUUAGCCUUAGCCUAGCUUAGCUCGGUUGACCAGACCGGGCGCAUUUUUUAGGUCUCGAAAAGAGGAAAUGUCCGGGUAAAAGAGGACGUCUGCUUUGUCUUGUGUUGCACUUGCUUGAUGUUUGACUGUGUUUGGAAAAUUGUUGACUUGCUAGUUUAGCCGCUAGACAUCUCGUUAGCAAGCUUGUUAUAACACGCUCGGAAAAUUGAUGCUAGUAUUAAGUGCUCUCGCGUCGGCUUCUUUCUAAUGCUAUUGUGAUCGGUACGGAGUCAGAUGUUGUCGGCUGAACGCUACGGACGACAGGGGGUGUAAGUUACGCUACGUGCAGCGAAUCGGGUUACAGAUGCGCCGUUUACCGUCGGCGAGGUUGGAGAUGAACCAGCGCGGGAUUUUAGCGUAAUAAAUUGGAUGUGUGGCGUGAGUGCGUGUGAAAACAUGCAAACGCGUGUGUCACACGGGGAAACCGUGAGAGUCGGCAGCCCUGUAGCUUUGUUGGCUAGCUUGACAACAACUUUCCUAACACAGUCAAACAUCAAGUAAGUGCAACACAAGACAAAGCAAGACCGCAAAUAAGUUCCUGAAUAGUCCAGCAGAAAUUUAUACGGCAAAAUAACCUACAAUUUCACUCAUGUGGGCCUACAGAAUGCACACAAAAUUGUACCAAAUACACACUUGAUGCAAUACAACAAAAUAUAUAUAUAUAUAUAUAUAUAUAUAUAUAUAUAUAUAUAUAUAUAUAUAUAUAUUUAAAUUCUCAGAAUGGUAUUAAGUGUGAUGAUCAGAAGCAUAGGCCCGUUCCCACAAAUUACACUGUCUAUUGAGUAAGGGAAGCCUCCCAGUGUUGAGAUGUGGCUGUAGAAUGGAGAGCGCUGCAUGACUCUGUGCCUUCCCACAUUUUAACCAGGCAUCCCAGGCGGAGCGCAAUUGAUUUUGGCAGUGGCUGGAAUAAAGAUUGAUUGAAUCAGAAUGGUAAGGAGCUCGCUGGAGGAUCGACCAUGCAGUAACCCAUGAGCUGCGGAUGCCUUUGCCAAGAAAGUACUCAAAGUUAUUCUAGCGUAAGGGGCAAUGCGAUUAAAGCACAUAGUUUCCACACACAGAACACCGAAGGUGGAGAAUGAAUCCUAUGGAGAAAUUACACAUGUGACCACUAGACUGUGGUUUCACUGUUAAUUAGAAGAUUGUAUAAUAUCUACCUCAUGGUGGUCUGGGAUGAUGAGGGAAUGGAAACCGGCGAAGACGAGAUGUAUUGAACAUACAGUAACAGUCACUGAAAAAAUAAUCAAUACAUGUGGUCUGGUCUUUCUGUAUGGCGUCUGUGUAGUGUAAACCGGCUCUCAUCAAAUCGAUAUUAAACAGGUUUUGGGUCUUGUUGGUGUAGUGAAGCAGUGAAACUGGCCAACAAUGGGAAGCUUUAUCCAUCCAAUAUACACAGUCCGUUUGUAGUUUUAUUCUAACAUUAGCAAGCUGUAGCUCCAGGAUUUAAAAUGUUAACAAGUGUGCUCAUUUAAACCUCUCCGCGGCUACACUGCCACAAUUAUACGAUUACAGUAUAACUGGCAUAUCAAUCGGGCUCCCCUUACAAUCUUUACCUUAACAUAAAGAUCAUCACAGAGGCCUCUGUCAUCUGAGUGUCUGAUGUGUUGUUGUGGGCGUGUUUGCAUGCUCUCCUUCCCACCGCGGGACCUCGUCCUGCACCUGUCAGAGAGCAGCUUCACCAGAGACAAACGGAGAGCGGCGUGCGGCAUGUUUGAUGUGGACGCAAACGUGAUGUGCUGUGAAAACUUCCCUCUGCUCUACCUCAAGCCUGCAAGGCUUCAGUUAACUCUUUCUUUUAUACUGGUUUCUAAUGGACACAUUCAAAAACAACCCUUGCUGACUAAAAUAAGUGCAAGUGAUCUGAGUAAGGUAAUGACCAAGAACAUAUGGAAUGGUUGUGACAGUUUUUUCGCAGAUGAGAGGCUUGUUUUUUUUUUAUAUCAAAUUGUUUUGCGCUCACGGUGUUUGCACUCGUUUGCCGACUACUAAUGGUUGUCGAUGACGAUGGGAUUCUUGAUCUAAACCAUCAUCUGCUGGUAUUUGUAAGUACAAUGUGGUUGCUGCAAAAUUCAGGGAUGAGAAAAUAAUUCCUGACAUCAAAAGCUAAUUGUCUUCAUCGUUUUAUAGAUGCGUCACUUUGAAACCCUCUGCUCCUCUUGGCACAUGGAUUUGUGAGAUUUGUAUGCUCGCCAGUUACGAUUUUUACGAUUUGUGAACAUUUAACCAGAUGAAGCCUGUUUGCCAAACGUCUACUCUGCAGCGCCACAGCUUUAUAAUGAAUGAAACGUGUGUGUACACUCAUUUGGGGCUUGCUUGGCCUCCUCCGUUGUUAUCAGCAGCUCUAACUUGAACCUCGUUGUGUUUACGGUGUGUGUCAGGCCGUUCUGUAAUGCCAUCACAUUUAUAUUCAUACAACUAGUAUGUGUUUAUUCAAUUAUAAAGGUAUGUGAACUUGAAAUGCUACAAAUAAUAAUACAAUUCAAGUGCUUCAUCAUUUUAAUGAAGUUACAGUACUUGACUAAAUGCACUUGGAAGUUUAGUCCCACCACUGAUAGACCACGAACAUUGUUGAAAAGAGGAAAUACUUUCUUAAUUCUUUCUUAAGUGCAGCGGAUUGAUGGCUUGAAUUGACUAAUUUACAGAAAUGUCUUCAGGCGAUCCUACAGGCUCCAAGGGUCCCACAACAUAGUCUUAGGCAAUCAUGUGGAAAAACACUAGGAUGAUGUACAUACGUAAGCAUGGAAAGAACUUAUGUCAGUUUAGUUCUGCAAUGGUUUAGAGCCGGACAGAAUCAUUGUGUCAUGUCCUUUUUACGCUCCGUUUGGCCAGUUCUUGCACCACUUAAGCAGAAGACUGCAUAAACUGGAAGUGUGUAUGUGCAGGUGCAAUUCACGUUUACUAUUUUUUUACUUUUUCUAGGUCUGUUCCAUUUUCCUCUUACCCGAUUGUACACUGAUCCGGGGGCCUAGGUUAGUGUCCUGUUUGCCCAGCUGCAUGGCUUAUUCACCUGGAGUAAAGGAAGGUCCCAUCCGGAUUUUCAUACAACACUGAAUAAAAUGAAAUGUAAAAAAAAGGAAACGAGGCCCGGGCAAAUCCAUAGUCGGUCAGAUUAAGAGAAAGGCACUGGACUGGUCCCAUGACAUCCCCGUUGAACCUUUGGGGUAAGGCCAAUGAAAGCAGCAUAUUAGGAAUAUGAGAUGUAUUCCCAGACACUUUGUCUCUUUUCUCUAACUGACAUCGGUGUUCACUCCAUUUCUGUCUCUCUUGCAUAAUAUGCACCCUGUACACAUGUCCUCCAAUGCUUUUCUCUCCUAUUGUUAGAAUUCAGCACAAAAAAAUGUGCUGACUCAUGGAAAAGGCUUCCUUUAAAGGCUUGUGGCCUGUUUGAGCAGAGGGAAGUUCUCAGGUUAGAACCAGAUGGCACCUGCGGCUGUGUGGGAUCCCGUUGCUGUCUCGUUCCCCCUCCAGAGGUUUGGGCUGGAGAUUCCCCUGCCAAUGUCCAGUCAGCACCACUAAACCGACAAUCCUGGUUGGAUUCCAGGCCAUCCAGGCCUCACUGACGGCCAAACUGGAUCCUUGGACUCCGGUACUUUGCCGUUACGUCACCCUUAAUCCUUUCUGUACAGAGACCGCUUAAUAUUGAGAAGAAACCAGAUUAAAGUUACCCUUAUUGUGUGCCUGGGCAUUUAGGAGAAUAAACUACACUUAAGAUGCCUUUAAAGUCCCCCAAGACGGCGACAAUGGAGAAUGAGUGUUGAUAAAUAAACCUCAAUUUAAAUGGAAUGCUCUCUAAAUUUACACUUUAACUUCAGUGUGUUGGUUAUGUAUUUGAUAUUAUUUCCUUGGAGUCUCUUUAAUAAUGUGCAAGCAUUUCUUUAAACCUUCUUUAUGGUUGGGUAUUAAAAGCACAGCGCUGUGUUCUAAUCCAGCUGGGCUAUUGCCCCAGACACCAAGUGUCUUUAUAGAGCAGUGACAUUAGCCUGUUUAUUGGUUGCAGGGGCGUAGAGAUGGUAUUGUUUUUAAUUGCUUGUACAUGCUCACGGGAUCCAUGGAGAUUACGGACUGCAGAUGCCAGCAUAUUGGGAAUGAGAUGAAACUAAAGAAAGCCAAAAUAUCCAGUAGCCAUAUUUGAUUUGCUUUGCAGUCGCUUGACAAAAUUGCUUACAGCGAUUGUAUAUCCUUGAUGUAUUCAAGCAAGUCAGGCUCAAGUCCUGUAACACAUAACGCAACAUCACUCCAUUGUUUGUCAAUUUUGUAGCGGUUAUUUUAUCUGCAAAUCGGUCAUAUUUUCCUCAUCCUCCAACAAGCUUGAUAUCAGGAGAAAAAGCAACUCUGACAGUGCUAACGUGGACAUUGCUGGAAAUCGUCUUUAUAAGUGGCCCUAAUUUAACAGGUUUAAAUGUAAGUGGAUAGCUUCCUGCCUGUGACAAACCUGUCAUGAUUGUACAUAGAAACGCACAACCAACCCACCCAGCCACAUAGACACAUGCACUUUGGCAAUUGCACGGGCAAACACAUGCAUAUAUUGUUCAAGAAUGUUUCUGUCAGUUGGCACCCAACUUCCUUAUUACAUUGGGGGGGAGAGGGAGGCUACCGUGGAGAGCACGGUCGUUCUCCGAUCAGAGGGUUGGCGGUUCAAACCUGUGUGUGAAUGGUGUGAAUGUUAGUUACUGAUGGGGGACGCUGUGUAUGGUAGCUGGUGUUAUCAGUGUGUGAAUAGGUGUGAAUGGGUGAAGUGUUGAAGCUUCUGACCAAAAACCACUGGUGUGACACUAACCAAGAGAGCGGUGUGGAGGGUGUCGCCACCUUUAACAGGUUCCUGGGAGCUUUGGAUCUCGUCUUCUGAGCCAGUGGGGUAAUUUCCCAGUGUUGCUAAAGGCCGGGUUCCUGCUCCCUUUCUCAUCAAACUGCUUCCCCAGAACCCCCCCCACCCCCCUCUCUUGAAGGAUGUCUCCCUACUUGGUUAAUGAGGGUCCUACCUCAACCGUUCAGCAUGGGGACGGGCAUUUAAUGAAGUGCCUAACAAGUGGCUCCGAAGAUUUGCGUUCACUGCCCCCCUCCUCCUCUUUUUCUCCUGCAUGUCCUGUCCCCCUCCAUCCUCAAGGGGAGAGUCUCCGUACACAGGAUUUCCCGGGGAAAAGCAUUGUUAGGCAGGAAGUGGGAAGGGUAAAGGAAAGGAACUUUCACUUGUGGAACAGGGAGACAUGACGGCGGUGCGACCGUGACAGCCGUGUGGUGCCGUGGUCACCGGGGCCGAACGCGGCGGGCAGAGGUCCCACACACCAGGCCCCCUAAGCUGCCUCCGGAGCAAAUGAGCUGCCAGGCCAGACUAAUGGAGUCCUAAGUGGUGAUUAGGAGGGAGGGAAAGGUGAGGGAGAGUCUACUGGCAGUCCACUGUUAUCAGGAUAAAGUAGCAGGCUGCUGUAUUCACUAUUUGAAGGAACCAAAAGGGCAAUUACUGUUUUUAUGCAGAUACAUUAUUGUUUUCUGCACUAACUGCGUCCAUGAACAGAUGGAAAAGUUGACUCUAAACCGCAAUAUAAUCACACUAAUGAGUAAUAACAUUUUCCUUGCAAGAGAAAGACAUUAUACUAUUUCUACUGAACAUAUUAUUCCUCCUCAAAAGCAAAAAUGGUGUUUGUGUGAAUGUUUUUUAGUUAUCUGCAGCAAAUGACAUUGGAGUCCAACCAAGAACUGUAAAGCGGUAUUCAUCAAUCAGAGCUCAUGGUAAGAGAUACAGCUUUGGUGAGCAUCAUGGGAUUGAAUCUGUGAAAAAAGGGCACUUAAGCUCUGAUCUCUUACCAUCAACCUCUUAAUAAAUAUGAAGAAAGGGCCUUUAGGUGUGGAUAGUGUUACACACUUACUUUGUAUGGUUCAAUGAAGAGGAAAGGAGCAGUAACAUCCUGACAGAAUAUCAACUACUGAAACUGGACCCUUGCACCACUUUCUGAAUGACCUGAUGGUGCUGACAAUUGUAAGAGCCUGCUUUUGUGAAUGGAUGAGGCCACGGGCUGAUACUGGUUUGGUAGAUAGGGUGACGUCUGCUGGGAUCCAGGACGCGGUGCGCUGAGGAGCACAAGGACUGCAAUGACUGCCUGUCUGCUUCCUGCUAACAAUCCACCACAUUAGCCGAGUGUGUUACCCUAUUUAUAGCCAGUCCAGGAUGUGAAUAGGCUGUGUAGUUUCACUUUUCAUACAGAUAGUAAUAUUAGUCUUCUUUUGCUCCACAAUACACACCUUCUCCUUCACUGAGAGUGCUGAUGGGAUGUGGGAUAGAGCACUCAAUAUUAGCACUCUUUGGCUGGCUGGAUGAAAAUAUUUUGAUGGCUUUAAUAUUGGGGGAUGUGAAAAGUGUAAGCUCCAUCUAACCUAUGCUGAAAACUCUUCAAAGGUACUAUUACAGUAAGUGUGUGUACACACAGCCCACCGAAUGAGUUGGACAAAAACUGAAACCCAUGUACAUUAUUGUCUUAAUUGUAUUCUAAAGUAUUAAUAUUAUUGUUUUUAUUUAUAGUCCGUUGGAAAACCAAAACCUUUCUGAAUAUUUUUGAUCAAAUAUUGUAGCUGGUAUGUUGCAUUGCCAAGUGUUCCUACACACAUGAUUUAAUUGACCUCGUUGGGACCCCACCCUAAAUAGUACCGGAGUUACAGAAACUUUUUCACUAAUGUUACUGAGAACUAGAGUGCCUCUGAAUUGUAGGGAAGCCAUUAUUCUGGUGAUGCGUAGUGAGGUAGCUAAUGCCGCUGCUUCUCUUCAUUAACUCGCCAGCUAUUUAUUGUACAGCUUUUUUUUUAAUGCACUCCACUUUUGUUGACACGGCAUCCCUUUAUUAUAAUUUUUUUUUACACCUCCAUCUUGGAAGAACCCCUCCUGGCGCAUCUGUGACAGAUUAAUCAAAAACUUCUGAGAAACUUCAAUGGCCUUAAAUCCUCUAAUCGUGUAGGUGUGGGAAAAUGUUAUGGGUCCCCACCCACAGCCUUGAGGUCUAGCCAGAACACUGUUAUUUUUGUGUUCCACUUAAAACCUCGAUGGAGUAGCACUUUUACACAGAUGGGCUCACCGGUUGGAGAGCUUAGCAAAAGCAUGCGUGUGUGUGUGCGCACACAAACACGAAAAAGAUGGCAAUCCCAUUUGCUAAUAUUGACACGGGUUUCCCCGUUCAAUCUUGUUUUAAGGAUUAUUGUCUAUUGAGAUUUCAUUUCAUUAGGCCAAAGCACACACCUCGGGGUGCACACUGGGGCUGCUGGAGCUGCCCUGACCUUUUACCCUCCAUUGUGGUUUGAGGGAGAAUCUGGUAAGUGGUUUUCCACAUGUGUCAGUCGGUGCACAACGUAAACUUAAAAUGUGUCUGUAGCAUAAGGCGUGCUUAUACCUCGCAAGACAACACCACCACAUGGUGAGGAGACUCCUGAACGGUGGGUGGAAUAAUGUGGUCAGAAAUCCUACUAGCCGCUCUAUAUAAAUGUCUGUUCUUGAAUUAUAUCCAAAAUACAUACGAGAAAGCCACCCACCACUCACCCGAUGGCCCCUCUCCAGAUUACGUAUUGAUUCUUGAUAUGAAAAGCUCAUUACAUAAACAGUAACAGCAACACAAAAGCCAGUGAACCUUUGCAUAAAUCCUUUAAUUGAAUUUCCAGUGCCAGUGGUUGGAGGUUCUCUUUUUAAUUGAAUUCAUUGCUGGUAUUGUGAUUUGCAUGCACAGGAGCGGGUCCUGUCCCCGAUACAGUGCCAUUGAUCCUUAUUAAAGCUCACCUCUGGCCACGCUGUGGACUAACAGGGAAAAUUAAAUGUGUUCAUGGUGCAUAUACUUACUGGCUACAAGGCAUGACUGUGAGAAGCCGCACAGAGAAGAGGGGAAUGAAAGCGAUAAGAGGAAAAGAAACUGGUGAAAUUAAUUUUCUAAUUUGCACUGGCUUUGUCAUUCUUAUCAAGCCAUUUGGCGCUAUACUUAAAUAGCUGCUGACCCUAGUUAGUGUUCAGCAGCUGAUCAGAUGCCAUAAAUCUAAAGUGCCUCCCAAAGAACCACAGGACCUAAAAGUCAUGAUUGAAUUACACCUUCUAAUACGUCUCUCUCGGCUAUUUAAUGAGCUUUUGGUCAAAAUCUAAUCUUUUAAAUAAUUCUGAGGGGUGUGAAAAGGCGUUGGCUCAGAGCAUUGAGAAAGGAAGGAGUAUCUUCGGUAUCUUGAUUUGGCCAGUGAUAUCAUGUGUGCUCAACCGGCUGAUUUCUGAGAAUCGAUCUGUGUUUUCUAUUGGUUUGGUGGAGGGCAUUAGUGACAGUGAGCGUUCCUAUUGAAUUUCCUGUGGAGGAGACAACAGCAGGCCGGUGGAAUGCAUCACACAACUCAUCAAUGUAACUUGGACAGGUUGGCAGGUGAAGAAUCAUUCAUUUGUUAUUUGUCUCUGGUACUUCUCCUUAUUGGUAAUUGUUUAUUAUUCAUUCUAAUGAUGUCAUUUUUCUAAUAUAUUUAAUAUCUUUCAGCAUGUAUUGUGCAUACUGCUGGUGUAUACAACCAGUGUGACUAGCCAAUGAUCCAGCGUGACUAUACAAUGCCACUAGUGGUCAAAAACUCCUCAGGUACCUCUAAACACAUCACAUGGAAGCAAUUUGCCGCUUUUCAGCACAUCGUAUCAAUUAGAUUGGUACUGUAUAUCAUGUACCUUGCUUUAUGUUUUAAAUGGUUUCAUGUGAAGCACUUUGAAUUGCCUUGUUGUUGAAAUGUGCUAUACAAAUGAAAUUGCCUUGCCUAACGCACACACAUGCUCACACAAAUGCAGUACAACAUGUUCCGCAUUAAAAAGUGUGAUAUAAUACAUGAAGCAGCUGGGGUGUUUUUGUUUAUCUUGAUUUUGAGGUCUUUGCAACUUCAAGAUGUUAGUGUUUCUCUCUCUUGUACACACACCCACACACACACACACACACACACACACACACACAGGCAUAGUCCUUUGAGCCAAGUGCCGGUCCCCAUGCACAGUAUUAUCAGCUCAGAUUAAAUGUUUCACUAGGUUAUGUGUUAUAUCUGGGUUAUGGGUCUUGGUCAUGUUCACAAUACAACCUGACUGAAAGCUCGUUUGAUGGACAAAACCUGCGAUAAGUUUAUUCUGUUUCUCUGGCUGUAAUACGACGACUGUGAAACACAAAUAGAUUUGUAUAAUACCCUUUGUAAUUGCUCUCAAGGAUGUAUGGCAGACUGGCUUUUAUGGUGCCAUAUACACAGCAUGUUCACCUGCGAAUGGCUCCGUGGCCUUUGAGCCGCUGAACCUUAAGGUAAUGAUGUAAAACAACAAAGAGACGUACAGUAGAUGUUGUACAAACAUUAUUGUAAGCUAAUGGAACACCUCACUUACAACUUAAGUGGACCCAAUGAGGGUUUAUUGUUAUUUGAGAGUUGGAUUAGCCAUUGAAUUUAAUGUAGACAAAUGAUUAGAACUAUUGCGGCAGCACUUACACUUAUAACAUGUACAGUAUAUUUCACUUUCUCUAUCCAUGACUAUAUAUUAUUUCAAAUGUUGAAUUGGUGUAACUGAGAUCUGCUACUAUGAAAUUUGGGGAAAAACAUAGACCAUAAAAACCACUCAAAAUUAUCAAUACUAGUGUUAUUGAUUACCACUGUGCGUUUUUUUUCAACAAUAAAUUGUCUGUGGAAAACGUAAAUGAUAUGUUGAAACGGUCGGAUUGGGAAGAAGAUGAAACUUGGUGGAAAUGUAUUACAUGUUGAUAUUUUCUCAAUAAUCUCAUAUUCUCUUUGCAGUUUUUCUCACUUGCAUUUUUCUUUUUCGGGUCACCCUAAUAAAGCAUUAUUUGAUUUUAAAUGGCUCAAUACCAAUAAUGGAAGAUUGCUGCCAGCCACAAAGUAUCCAAUACGCAUCAGAUGGAUGCAGGACUGUGAACUGGGAAGCUGCAAAGAGAAAUGCAUCAAAAAAACUUAAAUGGACACGGAUCAACAUCACAACACGGGUCUAUAGUGAUGACUGAAACAGUCACUCGUGCCAGCGUGAAUAGCACUAUAUGAAAUAAUAAUGAGACAAUGUGUGGUGCAAAGGUUAAUAGUGUGCCAUAUGAAACAAAUUCUACAUUUUGUCGUUUUUCUAAAGUAGGUUGUGAUGCCAGAUUGGAAUUCAGCAUCUAUCAGUAAUGUAAUAAAACAAUUAAAUAAAGCACAUUAUUACUCCUGUUGGGGCGGCACGGUGGCGUGGUGGUUAGCACUGUUGCCUCACAGCAAGAAGGUCCUGGGUUCGAUUCCGCCCAGUGGCCUUUCUGUGUGGAGUCUGCAUGUUCUCCCCGUGUCUGCGUGGGUUCUCUCCGGGUUCUCCGGCUUCCUCCCACAGUCCAAAGACAUGCUCUGGGGAUCAGGUUGAUUGGGGACUUUAAAUUGCCCGUAGAUGUGUGAAUGUGAGUGUGAAUGGUUGUGUGUCUCUGUGUAGCCCUGCGAUUGGCUGGCGACCAAUCCAGGGUGUACCCUGUCUAUCGCCCGAAGUUGGCUGGGAUGGACUCCAGCCCCCCCGCGACCCUGUGUGCAGGAUAAGCGGUUUGACAAUGGAUGGAUGGAUGGAUUACUCCUGUUAUAAUUGGGUAAAUGCAUUUUGUCAAAUCUUGUUGUUACCUUUGGAGACAAUAUAACUUAAUGUAACUUAAACUCGAUGUGUAUGAAGAUGUUCUUUUUGUCAUUUUGACCUUUUGGAUUAUGUUUUAGUGCCUUUCAAACUGUCAUGUUGUCUUACCAAAACUAGAAAUGAUUCAUUUGGUCCACCAAAGGGAGCGUGACUCUUCUGAGACUCAACUCUUAAUGGGACACAAUGAGUGCUUGUGUGAUUUGUUUUGCCAAUUUUAUUUUAAAUACAGAGAUUUAUUUCUGUGUCUGGGGGCAAGUGCAAACCUGUAUUUUAGGAAGGUUCUUGAAAUCCACCUCUGGGACACGCUCAUCCCUCCACCGGGCCCACCUGCCACAUUGUGGCAGCAUGUGAGGCUGGCUGAUAACAUACGAGAAAUAAGGCAUCCCUAAUGGAGGCAAAUAGUGGAAACAUGUUCCAUCAGAAGUGAUUACUACUAAUUAAGCUGUUUUCACAGCUGGCUGCCUUGCUUUAAUAUGCACGUUUCAAUCAUUUACACCGCUGAGAGAAAAAGCAUGAAAAUGCUUAGGAAUCCUGUUGAGUCACAGAACAGUGAUUAAAGGUAAUACGAUUGCUCACAGCAGACAAACCCCGCAAAUUAUGUUAAUUAUUUCCAGAGAUUAACGGAGAGCCAGACGAGUAGAAGUAUCCCGGACCCAGUGAGUAUGUGGUCUCGGUGCCAUCGGCCCCUCCUGUAUGCGUCUGUGGCCAGUUCUGAGUGACCCGCGUGUGUCACUGAGGCCGGCUAGUUCUUUUCUAACAGACGGCUGAUUGUGCUCCUCUACUUUGUGUGGCCCAGCGCCGCUCAACAGCACUUCAAAGAACUGCUGGGCUUCCGGGGAGCGACUGUUGUUCACUGUGGCUCCAACGCGCCGAUCUCUGAUGUUUUUCUUUCAUACAAAAACAGUUAGCGGCCCAUAAUCCUACACUCCGAGCGCAGGAAAUACCCACUGCCCCCCCACGCUGGGAAUGUCGUGUAGCCGCUCCUGCACGGCCUGGUGGGCAAUACAGAAGAUCAAAGUGCGCACGGUGGCAGCUUACACAUUUAUCAUAGAGAUUUAAGCUUCAAGGAUCACAGGACUGUGACAUGGACAACGGUCAGGAUUUUCUUUUCUGCAUUAGAUUAGUUUAGAAGAGUCAAAGGAAACUCUUGUUUUCAGUGCAGCAACAUUUGCACAGUUGGAUCAUAAUAUUCACUUUACAACAAGGAACCUUCUUUUCUUGCAGAGGGAAUACGGCGAUCGAAGAAGUCAAGACUGCUUUUAAUCAAAAAAGAACAUGUUGCUGUCUGUUAUGUCAGUGUUGGUGGCAUUUAACUUUUGUCUUUUUGAAGCCAUGUCAACCCCCCCCAUCCUCGUUGUGGAUGUUGGGAGGUUAAUCACGUUUGGGAAUGUGAGAUUCACAAUGAAAGAAAACCUGUCAGCUUCUUACAGCAUUUUUUCCUCAUAGUGGAUUGUUUUGUUCACUAUUGCCAAACCGGGCGUGGGGUCUUUUAAGCACCCAUGUUCCAGCUAAAACCACAGCAGGGAUAGAAUUUAUCCCCUGUUCUGGAAUUACACUUCUUUUCCACCCGUUAUUUUCCUGUCCGUCCUAUGGUUAGGAGAUCAAAGGCACUUAAGAUUCGGAUGCCUUUGAAUCAUGAAAGAGCUUUAAUUGAAAUAAAAAGUGGGAUGGGACUAAUAGCUCUGCUCAGGUAUGUAUCAUGACGUCUUUUGGCUGCAUUGCAUGGCUUCUCUUUCAAGGCUUUCGCGGUGGCAAUGAAUUUCCUCCUGUAAUUGUCCUCCCAGUAUUUGAAAAUGAAGUGUAGCAAAAUUAUUCAUGAACAUUGUCAACAGAGUAGGCUUCCUUUCUCUUAUUAGCAAAUCAUUCUCCAGGAGAUCUCCAAAACCAUUUGUAAAAGCAGCUGCUGCAAAUCUUUGCUAUAAUCCCUUUUAACAUUGUGCAGCUAUUACCAUUUCUCUAUUCAUCUAUUAUUGCUUUGCCUUGUUGCUCCCACCCCUGCCCCAUGUCUGCGAGUGUUUUAUAGUCUUCUGGGAGGUGGGAGAGAGGUUGUUUGCCAGGAUGGUGUAAGCAUACAAAGAGAUAUCAAUUUUUCAUCCACACAAGCAGGGAGAGUUUGCGAAAGCGAAAGAAGAUGGAAAAAUGUGUUAUAUUUAUGCCACCAAUAUGUAUGGUGCUUAUCCUGAUGUAGUAUUUGUAAAUCAAGAAAAUACAGUAUUUCAACCAAAAAUGGAAGCUUUAACAAAAAGGGGCAGUGGCCAGAUGAUGGUAUCAAUGAAUGAACAAAAAUGUCCACGGAUGGUCUCAUGAACUGAAUUGAUCCUUAAAUCACCAAUAUAUGUCAAGUUACCCUUGGUAAACAAAUUAGAUGU